AAGAGGUUCGCCGUCGACCAUCUUAAAACGGCUGAAUUCUUGACGUAGAGAAACCUUGCGGGCGUUGUUGUUGGCAGCAAACCUGGAACUAAGUUGAUGCGCCGUUGAUCCGCUAGAUUUGGUUGGAUGCUGGUGGUGAGUUGCCGAACCCAACGAAUACAUUCUGAAGUCGGAUGGGGUGACGGAUUAGGGUGCCCCUCUAGCAGGGGAGAGCAGGGACUGCCCCGGGAAAGGGGGCCGCUGGCGAAGUUAACCACCCUGUAACAACAUAGAGCCCAAGGCGUCCCAGGCCUUCUUCGCGUUGGCAGCACCGGUAACCAUUGGCAAGUGGUGAUCCUUGACGUUCUUGAUAAGCAGAUUGAUGACCUUUCGUGAUUGUCGAAUCUGCUCCUCGUUGCACGGCUCGGCGAGCAAGGAUUGCUCAAGCCCAAGCUCCAUGCACAUCGCGCUAAACCGGAUUUGCCAGGUGGAGUAGUUGUGGAGGUCCAGCGGCUCAUCAAGCUUGUCCUUGACCAUUGUUGAUUAGGGAUAGAAAUAACAAUCAGACGAUAGCUGUCGGCGCUAGGCGGGGCUCAUAACCUAUUGGAGACCAGCAGGGACGUCGUUACCAUGUUGAAGCGGCUGGGUAGACCAACCAGCACUGCGUACGCCAGCUCCGAGUCGCUGAUAACGUGCCCCACUCCCAACAAGUGUGACUGUAAUUGCCGUGCACGUGCAAAGUACUUGGGUAGCGGCUCGCCGUCGACCAUCUUGAAACGGCUGUACUCUUGACGGAGAGCUACCUUGCGUGCGUUAUUGUUGGCGACAAACAUCGCGGCCAAAGCUUCCCAUGCUUCCCAUUCGCGUUCACAGCACCCGUAACCAUCGGCAAAUCUUUAACAUUCUUGAUGAGCAGGUUGAUAACCUCACGAGAUUGUCGAAUCUGUUCCUCGUUUCCCGGCUCGGCGAGCAAGGACUGCUCAAGCCCAAGCUCCAUACACAGCGUGCUGAACCGAAUUUGCCAGGUGGCGUAGUUGUUCAAGUCUAGAGGCUCGUCAAGCUUGUCCUUCCCCAUUGUGGAAUACGAGUAUGAAGGUAGAUGCUGCUAGCGUUAGCCGGGGCUCAUAACCUGUUAAAAAUAUGAAGGAGGCAAGGAGAAUGGUCGCGAUAUAAGUAUUACAGUCGGUAGGUGAGUGGUGAACGGCAGAAAGACUUUAGGAGAUUCCUACUAAGGAAUACCGAUCCAUACAAAGAUGAGAUACCAAGACUUGCAUAACUUGUGUCUUAUAUACCAGUACCAAUGGAAGUAUCGUUCAGUCGCCCACCAUCUAUCUAUCGUACAGUCGCCACCAUCUAUCGGAUUCAUCGCCUAUCUACCACCUAUCUACGUUGGGAUAGGACCAGGAUUCCAAAGGCUGAUUUCAUUCAUGGCAUACGGUGAGCAUCCGAUGGUUUCUGGACUCAGCAUUAAUGCAUCACAUCACCCCUGACCCCUCUGAGUUAUUUAACGUGUCUUUGUGUUGCAAAUGACCGACACUCAUAUACCAGUGAAUGGUAGCCGNNNNNNNNNNNNNNNNNNNNNNNNNNNNNNNNNNNNNNNNNNNNNNNNNNNCCAUUCACUGGUAUAUGAGUGUCGGUCAUUUGCAACACAAAGAGGCACACAACACACUGGGGGUUGGAGCAGUGGGAGCACUUCAAUAUCAUGGGCAUCAAGGGUCAAGCUUUGCAUCCAAUUGCAACGGUGGUCGGCUCACUCAUUAUUCCAGCCAACAUCAACGACAAACAGGCCAUUUCUUUCAAUAAGGUCUACUUUGGUGAGGAGGCAACAGUCAAGGUCUUGUCAGUUCCACGCACCAUCAAUGUAUUGGAGAAUUGGCGACGGUGACGGCUGACGCUUGUUGUUAUUCCGGAAGGAUUGCCGGCGGCGAAGAUAUUGAACACGAUAAACUGUUACAAGUAAUAUAAGGAGUAAUAGUAUGCGUUUGGCAGGACUUUAGGAGAUUCCGUUUGAGGAAUACCGAUCGUUGUGAGAUAAAGAAAUAAGCGCAGUCACCGCCCUAAAUACCGGUGCUAGCGGAAAACUCGUACAUUCCGCGAUCUCACUGCACGUACAUUCCGCAAUCUCACUGCGCCGUCCUGACGGUGCCCAAAUGUCUAUCACUUAGCUACCGAAUAUGCAUCGGUAGCCCCAUAAAGUUCUGGGGUAAGUCUUCCCCAAUAGUCAGGCACAGACCCGGGGCCAAAUCCCCUGGUCGACAACCACACGAGUUGGGAGAGGACCGUUUCCUCAACACGCCCCCUCGGGCCGUAUCCCAACGAGUACCAAGUUCAUCAGCACGCUUCACACAAGGCCCAUCGCACCUCGGCAACGUUUGAAUUUCACCUCGCCCAGAGCUUUCGUGAGCACAUCCGCAACCAUCCACUCCGUAGGGCAGUAUUCCAACUGCACCUCACCGCUAUUCACCCUCUCACGCACUAUGUGAAGCUGUACGUCGAUGUGCUUCGACCGAGCAGACGUAAUCGGGUUAUUUCCUAAGCUAAGCGCCCCCUGGGAAUCUAUUUGAAUCUUGAUAGCGCUCUCAGGCAAACCCAAAACGACCAUCAGCCUGUGAAGCCACAAAGCUUCACGAACAGCUGCCGCUGUAGCUUGAUACUCGGCCUCCACCGACGAAGCCGCCACAGUACGUUGAAGUUGACUGCACCAGCUAAUCGCAGCCCCAUUUAGAGUAAAAACGUAUCAGGAAGUAGAAUGCCGUGUAAACGGGUCUCCUGCCCAGUCAGAAUCGCUAUACCCAGACAUCUCAAUGUCGCCAACACCCCCAAAACGCAAUCCUAGUUCGCGAGUACCCGCCAGGUAACGCAGAAUGCCGGUUGCCAAGUUCAUGGCAGUCUUUGUAAGUGUGGCCAUAUGCCGGGACAAAAGACUCCAUGCAUAAGGAAUGUCAGGGCGAGUGUUAGUCGCUAGGUAGUCCAACUUUCCCACCAAAGCCCUAUGCACCAUGGGAUCCAGCAGCUCAUCUCUAUCCCCCGUGCACCUAAAACCCGGAGCCAAAGGGGUAGACCGUGGCUUGGCGUCCACCGUCUGGUGACGCUCCAAUAGCUGCUCAAUAUUGCGACAACACUAAUUCACCCGGCUUCAUCAUCAGUAUUUCCAUGCCCGAAAACACCUGCGCUUCUCCAAGUUCUCGUACUUCUCUUACAUCUUUGCACCUAGCCAUGCAAAAAAGCGCUUGACCUUCCACUCUUUUCAACUUGUACAACCACCGGUACAUUAGGACAUCAUGAGGCUGUGCACACAGCUCACAAGUGCCGUUAGCUGCCAAUGCAGCAAUCUCCUCGACCAUCACUCUGCGCCACUCAUUUGCAUUUGCACCUGAAAUGGCUUCAGUGAAAGUAUUACUCAGCAAAAAUUCAGCAGGGUACGGAUAAGUGACAGCCACGUUAAUGCGACCUACUAUCCUCCUUCCUGCAACACCAUGCCACCACUCCGAGGGCUAUAAUAUCUCCUCAUAUUCCCUGCCCUAUUCUUCUGAACUCCUGCGCUGGCUUGCACCACUAGAUGUUCCGGCUUCAUCCGGCAUUCCUUCACCAUCCACAGGUGACAGUGGUGCCUAGCCGACUGUGAGGCCCUGACUCAGGUACACCAAUACUAGCCGCUACAAAACUUUCACGGCACUCACGCCCGCCAGUCGUCUGCAUGUGGGCCUGAGAUGCCUUCGGCAUAAAUGUUAGGCUCUGAAUCCCAGCAGAUACUGCAGCAAUGACUCGGCCUGUAGCACUACGACCAGGUACACUCCGUCACCACUCGCCAGGCCGUUUGCAUUCCCUAACUGAAUACCGAGCCCCCAGCAUUUCCACAUCAGUGUGUGUGUUUCCUUCGACAUUCACACGUCUGGGAGGUCCAGCCCCAGCCAGCGCCCCUUCGUCACCCAAAUGCGGCGAUCCCUUGCUGACGGUAUUGCCUGAUGUUGCGAAUGAACAUUCGCUGUUGAGGAAACGGUCCUCUCCCAACUCGUGUGGUUGUCGACCAGGGGAUUUGACCCCGGGUCUGCACCUGACUAAUGUGGAAGACUUACCCCAGAACUUUAUGGGGCUACCGAUGCAUAUCCGGUAGCUAAGUGAUAGACAUUAGGGCACCGUCUGGACGGCGCAGUGAGAUCGCGGAAUGUACGUGCAGUUAGAUCGCGGAAUGUACGAGUUUUCCCCUAGCGCCGGUAUUUAGGGCGGUGACUGCGCCUAUUAGUUUAUCUCACAACGAUCGGUAUUCCUACCAGGAAUCUCCUCAAGUCCUGCCGAACGCUAACAAUACUCUUUACAUUACUUGUAACAGUUUAUCGUGUUUCAUAUCUUCGCCGCCGGCAAUUCUUCCGAGAUAACAAUCAGCGUUAGCCGUCACCGUCGCCAAUUCUUCAAUAGGUUAUGAGCCCCGCCUAGCGCCGACAGCUAUCGCCCAAUUGUUAUUUCUAUCCCUCAUCGACAAUGGUUAAGGACAAGCUUGAUGAGUCGCUGGACCUCAACAACUACUCUACCUGGCAAAUUCGGUUUAGCGCGAUGUGCAUGGAGCUUGGGCUUGAGCAAUCCCUGCUCGCCGAGCCGUGCAACGAGGAGCAAAUUCGACAGUCACGGAAGGUCAUCAAUCUGCUCAUCAAGAACGUCAAGGAUCAUCAUUUGCCGAUGGUUACCGGUGCUGCCUGUUAAGACCAGCAAAGCGCCGGACCCCCGUUGGGUCCUAUUACUGUGGCUACCAUUCACUGGUAUAUGAAUGUCGGUCAUUUCCAACACCCCCCCGUGAGCGACACUCUCUCGCUACGGGCCUUCCCGUGCCUCAUCCCGGUCUCCCAUUCUCUGGGCAACAGCCAGUGGGUAUCGAUCCGGCGACCUCUCGGCAGCGCAAUGCGCCAUUCGGGGCUCAUAACCUGUUAAGACCAGCAAAGCGCCGGACCCCCGUUGGGUCCUAUUACUGUGGCUACCAUUCACUGGUAUAUGAAUGUCGGUCAUUUCCAACACUGCCAACGCGAAGAAGGCCUGGGACGCCUUGGGAUCUAUGGGAUCUAUGUCUGCUCCCGUCGCGUCCCGGCGCGUCCGGGUUCAAAUCCGCCUGCCGACCUCUCGGGGUGUUUGAGAGGUGAUGAAAUGGGAGGUGGCCCCCCAUCUUAUGGACGGUGUAGGACGUGAUAAAAUCAACUCGCGAGCUGACCAGGAACUAAGUUGACGCGCCGUUGAUCCGCUAGAUUUGGUUGGAUGCUGGUGGUGAGUUGCCAAACUCAAAGAGUACACUCUGAAGUCGGAUGGGGUGAAUGGCUUAGGGUGCCCCUCUAGCAGGGGAGAGCAGGGAACUGCCUCGGGAAGGAGGCCACUGGUGAAGCUUAACCACCCUGUAACAACAUCAACAUCAACAACGCCCGGCGGGCGGCUGGCAGAGGUUAAGGCCUGGCUUCUGCUCCCGGCGCGUUACGGCACGUCCGGGUUCAAAUCCGCCUGCCGACCUCUCGGGGUGUUUGAGAGGUGUUGAAAUGGGAGGUGGCCCCCCAUCUUAUGGACGGUGUAGGACGUGAUAAAAUCAACUCGCGAGCUGACCAGGAACUAAGAUGACGCGCCGUUGAUCCGCUAGAUUUGGUUGGAUGCUGGUGGUGAGUUGCCAAACUCAAAGAGUACACUCUGAAGUCGGAUGGGGUGAAUGGCUUAGGGUGCCCCUCUAGCAGGGGAGAGCAGGGAACUGCCUCGGGAAGGAGGCCACUGGUGAAGCUUAACCACCCUGUAACAACAUCAACAACGCCCGCAAGGUGUCUCUACGUCAAGAAUUCAGCCGUUUUAAGAUGGUCGACGGCGAACCUCUCCCGAUGUACUUUGCGCGUGCAAGACAGCUGCAAACAGAUUUAUUGGGAGUCGGCCACGUAGUUAACGACUCCGAGCUGGCGUACACCGUGCUAGUUGGUCUACCCAGUCGGUACAGCGUGGUGACGACUACAUUACUUAUGCGCGACGGCGAUUUGGACAUGGCGAGCGUCACAGCAAAGCUUCUCUCUAUCGAGACGGCUAACGGUGGGUCGGGCAAGCCUACCGAGUCGGCAGCCUUCGCGUCUGUCGGUGGUUCGACGUUCGGCGCUUCUACUUCUGGUUAUGGUAGCCGGGGGCCGGCUAACAACAGCUCGGGACAUAGUCGGAAGCAAGUCACCUGCUACUACUGUAAUAAACCUGGGCACGUGGUUAAGGACUGCAGGCAGCUUAAGGCGCUGAAGCAGUCGUCAAAUUCUGGCUAUAAGGGUGGGUACAACAACAGUGGCAACGGAGGUAGUGGCAGCGGAGCUAGCGGCAGCAAGCCAGGAUCCGGUGGAUCAGCUAGGGGGCCAGGAGUUCCGCGGCAGGUAGCGUUCGUAGCAUAUAACAGUGAGCGUCCGACGGAAUGGUUUCUGGACUCAGCCGCCACUCACCACAUAACGUAUGACCGCUCAGAACUUUUCAACGUGCGGUUGUUGGAGCCAUGGGAGCGCUUCAACAUCAUGGGCAUCAAGGGACAAUCUCUUCGACCGACUGAAGUUGGCACGCUUACGAUUCGGUCUAACGUCAACGAUAAACAGGCCAUCCCUUUCAAGAAGGUCUACGUCGACGAGGAGGCCACCGCCAAAAUCAUAUCGGUCCGCAUCAUUGAUGAUCGUGGAGGCAGUGUGGUCUUCGGCGGCGGACAGGCGAAAGUAUACGUACAGAACCAGUUGGUGCUGACUGGAAAGCGGGAUGGGGACUUGUAUCCCGUCUGCUACAGCAGUGGAGGUACGGGAGCUCUGAAGAGGACGCAGCGUGAAGACAACAGGAUACCUUCUGGUGGUGAUGCAGUGUGUGCUGCCGUGGGUAUCGGAGCUGAACGUGCAGCACUUUGGCACCGAAGGUAUGGCCACUUGGGAUACAGCAACCUUGAGACGUUGCUGCGUCAUAAUAUGGUAGCUGGAUUUGAUGUUGACCGACACAGCAUACAAUCAGCCAGCACGUGUGUGUGUGAGACUUGCGUCCUUGCUACAUACACGUGGUCCUUUUCCGUUAUCUGGGCAUAAGGCAGUGCAGCCUCUCGCGCUCAUUCACAUGGAUGUGUGUGGGCCUAUGCCUGAACCUUCGCCUAGUGGUUCGCAUUACGUGACAACCCUGCUUGACGACCAUACUGGUCUUUCAGCUGUUGAUGUUGUUACAGGGUGGUUAAGCUUCACCAGUGGCCUCCUUCCCGAGGCAAUUCCCUGCUCUCCCCUGCUAGAGGGGCACCCUAAGCCAUUCACCCCAUCCGAUUUCAGAGUGUACUCUUUGAGUUUGGCAACUCACCACCAGCAUCCAACCAAAUCUAGCGGAUCAACGGCGCGUCAACUUAGUUCCUGGUCAGCUCGCGAGUUCAUUUUAUCACGUCCUACACCGUCCACAAGAUGGGGGGCCACCUCCCAUUUCAUCACCUCUCAAACACCCCGAGAGGUCGGCAGGCGGAUUUGAACCCGGACGCGCCGGAACGCGACGGGAGCAGAAGCCAGGCCUUAACGUCUGCCAGCCGCCUGCCUGUUGCGUUUACAGCGACCAAGGAGGAGGUCUACCAGAAGGUGGUGGUAAUGAUAGCGGAACUGGAGCGCGCCACUGGCAGGCAGGUUAAGGAGGUGCGUACAGAUCGUGGCGGGGAGUUCGUUAAUACUCGCACGAAGGCCUAUUUCGCUUCCAGGGGUAUUCUACACGGAACUACGGUAGGCUACACCCCUGAGCAGAACGGAGCUGCAGAACGUUUAAAUCGCACUCUUUUGGACAAGACUAGGGCUAUGCUAGUUGAGUCUGGACUGCCUAAAUCAUUAUGGGCGGAGGCGUUAGCGACAGCCAACUAUCUUAGGAAUGUGUUGCCAACUGCUGGGUCAACCGUCACUCCGUACGAAGCUUUCUUUAACGUUCGUCCGAACGUCAGUCACCUGCGAGUCUUUGGAUGCGUUGCCUACGUCCACGUACCCGACGUCAAGCGUGACAAGUUCGACCCGGUGAGCAGGCGUGGAAUACUUGUUGGAUACGGGAACGGAGGACAAUAUCGUGUGCUAUACGUGGACGGCAUUAUUGCCAUAGUUUCUAACGUUCGUUUCGAUGAAUCUAAUGUCGGCCAGCGGCGUAAUGCCGGGGACUCCGAUUAUGAGUCCGAUGCCGACGAGGAGGAGGAUUUUCGCACUAGUUUGCCUGGUGAGGGAUCGCUGCCUAGGGCUGGCGAAGGGAUACCAGGUAGCACCGUCGGCGAGGGAUCGCCGCACUUGGGUGGCGAGGGGGCGCCGGCUGGGGCUGGACCUUCCAGCAGUGCGAAUGGGCAAGGAAUCAAUCAGCCUGAUGUGGAAAUGGCGGGAACUAGGUACCCAGUUAGAGAGCGUAAACGCCCUGGUGAAUGGUGGCGAAAUGAACCUGGUCGCACUGUUACUGGUCGCGUUAACGCUGCUUUCUCUACUGAUAUUCCCGAACCGAAUUCUUUUGCGGAAGCCAUUGCGAGUCCACAUGCAGACGACUGGCGGCGUGCGAUGGACGAGGAGAUCGCCACCCAGAUGGCUAAUAGUACUUGGGAGCUGAAGAAGCCACCGCCUGGUACUCGUUUGUUGCCGUGUCGUUGGGUAUAUAAGGUUAAGUACAGCGAUGACGGCAGCAUGGAGCGCUUUAAGGCGCGUUUAGUUGCCAAGGGUUUUGAGCAACGCGAGGGGAUUGAUUAUGGGGAGUUGUUUGCCCCUACCUCUCGUGGUUCGUCAUUACGAGCUUUAUUAGCAGUUGCCGCAGCGCGGGACAUGACGGUGCAUCAGCUAGAUGUGUCUACUGCGUUUCUGAAUGGUGAGCUGAAGGAGGAGUUGUGGAUGGAGCAACCGCCUGGGUAUGCAUCCAGUGACCGGUCGCUUGCGUGCAAGCUGCAGAAGUCUAUUUACGGUUUGAAGCAGGCACCCCGUUGCUGGAAUGGAAAGCUAUCAGCAGAGUUCGCCAAGCUGGGUCUUUAUCCUUCGAAGUCUGAUCCGGCGAUGUUUGUUAAGACGGACGAGCGUGGGGUUGUUAUUGCUUUGGUACACGUAGAUGACACUAUUGUUGCGUCGGAAGACCCGGAAAUGGUCCGGGCAAUUAAAGCCGCAAUUGCGAAGGUCUUCAAGGUGCGCGACCUUGGAGAAGCGAAGGUGUUUUUGGGCAUGGAAAUUAGGAGGGAGAAGUCGGGUGAGAUAGUGUUGUCGCAGCAUAGGUAUAUUGCGCAGCUGUUGGAGCGUCAUAGGAUGAUUGACGCCAAGCCGAGGUCUACCCCUUUGCCUCCGGGCUUUAGGUACACUCCUAAGGGGGACGGAGAGGAGCUGCUGGGCAAUCCCACAGAGUAUAGGGCUUUGGUGGGAGAAUUGAACUAUCUGGCGACGAACACGCGGCCUGACAUUUCAUAUGCAUUGAGCAUUUUGUCCCGGCAUAUGGCCGCACCUACGAAGACUGCCAUGAACUUGGCAACCGGCGUUCUACGUUACCUGGCGGGUACACGCGAACUAGGAUUGCGUUUUGGGGGUGUUGGCGACGUUGCUAUGUCCGGGUACAGUGAUUCGGACUGGGCAGGAGACCCAGUUACGCGGCGUUCUACGUCCGGUUACGUAUUCACUCUUAAUGGGGCUGCGAUUAGCUGGAGCAGCCAACUUCAACGUACUGUGGCGGCUUCGUCGGUGGAGGCUGAGUACCAAGCUACAGCGGCGGCUGUUCGUGAGGCUUUGUGGCUUCGCAAGCUGAUGGUUGAUUUGGGCUUGCCUGAGAGCGCGGUGAAAAUCCAGAUAGACUCCCAGGGGGCGCUUAGCUUGGGAAACAACCCGAUUACGUCUGCUCGGUCGAAGCACAUCGACGUGCAGCAUCACAUAGUGCGUGAGAGAGUGAAUAGCGGUGAGGUGCAGUUGGAAUACUGCCCUACGGAGUGGAUGGUUGCGGAUGUGCUCACGAAGGCUCUGGGCGAGGUGAAGUUCAAACGUUGCCGAGAUGCUAUGGGCCUUGUGUGAAGUGUGCAGAUGAACUUGGAACUCGUUGGGAUACGGCCCGAGGGGGCGUGUUGAGGAAACGGUCCUCUCCCAACUCGUGUGGUUAUCGACCAGGGGAUUUGACCCCGGGUCUGCACCUGACUAAUGGGGAAGACUUACCCCAGAACUUUAUGGGGCUACCGAUGCAUAUCCGGUAGCUAAGUGAUAGACAUUAGGGCACCGUCUGGACGGCGCAGUGAGAUCGCGGAAUGUACGUGCAGUUAGAUCGCGGAAUGUACGAGUUUUCCGCUAGCGCCGGUAUUUAGGGCGGUGACUGCGCCUAUUAGUUUAUCUCACAACGAUCGGUAUUCCUACCAGGAAUCUCCUCAAGUCCUGCCGAACGCUAACAAUACUCUUUACAUUACUUGUAACAGUUUAUCGUGUUUCAUAUCUUCGCUGCCGGCAAUUCUUCCGAGAUAACAAUCAGUGUUAGCCGUCACCGUCGCCAAUUCUUCAAUAUUCGCCAGCCCUAGGCAGCGACCCCUCACCAGGCAACCUAGUGUGCAAACCUCGUCGGCAUCGGACCCAUCAUCGGAAUCCCUGGCAUUAUGCCGCCGGGCACUUGACUCGUCAAAGCGGACGUUGGAGACCACGGCGAUGAUGCCGUCCUUGUACAUCACAUGAUACUGUCCUCCACUCCCGUAUCCGACAAGGAUCCCUCAGACACUUACUGUUGUAAGAUACAAACACAACCUGGCUCGGGAAUCCCAAUCCCUUGCCAGACCCACCGGGCCCAGGCUUGCUGAAAUAGAAGCAAAUCACCUCUUUGAGAGGAACGCCAGAACUGCUGCUGGCCGCGCCACGAUUCCCAAGACCAGAACCAGAGGCCCCAAACGAAAAACUGCCGACAGAUGCAAACGCUGCCGACUCGGUAGGCUUACCAGACCCACCGCUUGCCACCUCGAUAGCCAAAAGCUUGGAGGUGACGCUCGCCAUGUCCAAAUCGCCGUCAUGCACCAGCAGGGACGUCGUUACCACGUUGAAGUGGCUGGGUAGACCAACAAGCAAAGUGUGUGCCCGCUCAGAAUCGCUGAUAACGUGUCCUACUCCCGACUGUAAUUGCUUGCAGGCGUCCUGUGCCUUCUUCACGCUAGCUAUGUAAGCUACUAGCGUUAACCGGGGCUCAUAACCUGUUAAGAAUAUAAAGGCAAGGAGACUCAUAAGGGUUACAGUCUGUGGGUUAAUGGUGAACGGCAAGAAGACUUUAGGAGAUUCAAGUUAAGGAAUACCGAUCCAUCCUAAGAUGAGAUAGAAAGACAUGCACCACUCCUGUCUUAUGUACCGAUACCAACGGAAGUAUUGUACAGUCUUCCACCAUCCCUGGACCUGAGGACACGUCCGAGAUACGCAGCCGAGAGACCCGAGGCAAGGUCGAGGCACAGCCGAGGCAAGGUCGAGGCACAGCCGAGGCAAGGUCGAGGCACAGCCGAGGCAAGGUCGAGGCACAGCCGAGGCAAGGUCGAGGCACAGCCGAGGCAAGGUCGAGGCACAGCCGAGGCAAGGUCGAGGCACAGCCGAGGCAAGGUCGAGGCACGUCCGAGGCAUCCCCUAUCAAGGCGGAUUCAUCACCUAACUACCACCUAACUACGUCGGGAUAGGACCGCCCUUCAACACAAACGAAUUAGGUUCAGGAAUAUCAGCAGAGAAAGCAGCAUUAACGCGACCAGUGACAGUGCGACCAGGUUCGUUUCACAACCAUUCGCCAGGGCGUUAACGUUCUCUAACUGGAUAACGGGUCCCUGCAAUUUCCACAUCGGGCUGAUUGUUACCUUGCACGUUCGCACUGCUGGAUGGUCCAGCCCCAGCCGGCACCCCCUCGCCACCCAAGUGCGGCGAUCCCUCGCCGACGGUGCUGCCUGGUAUCACUUCACCAGCCCUAGGCAGCGAUCCCUUACCAGGCAAGCUAGUGCGAAAAUCCUCCUCCUCGUCAGCAUCGGACUCAUAAUCGGAGUCCCCGGCAGAACACCGCCGGCCGACGUUAGACGCAUUAAAGCGAACAUUAGAAAAUACGGCAAUAAUGCCGUCGUCGUACAGCACACGGUACUGUCCUCCGUUCCCGUAUCCGACAAGUAUUCCACGCCUGCUCACCGGAUCGAACUUGUCGCGUUUGACGUCAGGUACGUGGACGUAGGCGACGCACCCAAAAUCUCGAAGGUGACUGACGUUAGGACGGACGUUGAAGAAAGCUUCAUACGGUGUGACAGUUGACCCAGCAGUUGGCGACACAUUCCUGAGGUAAUUGGCUGUCGCCAACACUUCCGCCCUUAAUGACUUAGGUAGACCGGACUCGACAAGCAUAGCCCUGGUUUUGUCUAGGAGAGUGCAAUUCAAACAUUCCGCUGCUCCGUUCUGCUCAGGGGUGUAGCCUACCGUAGUUCCAUGUACAAUACCCCUGGACGCGAAAUAGCUCUUCAUGCGAGUAUUAAUGAACUGUUAAGAAUAUGAAGGAGGCAAGGAGACUUGUUGCGAUAUAAGUAUUAAAAUCGGUAGGUGAGUGGUAAACGGCAGGAAGACUUUAGGAGAUUCCUACUGAGGAAUACCGAUCCAUACAAAGAUGAGAUACUAAGACUUGCACAACUCGUGUCUUAUAUACCAUUACCAAUGGAAGUAUCGUACAGUCGUCCACCAUCCCUGGACCUGAGGACACGUCCGAGAUAUGCGGCCGAGAGACCCGAGGCAAGGUCGAGGCACAGCCGAGGCAAGGUCGAGGCACGUUCGAGGCAAGGUCGAGGCACGUCCGAGGCAUCGCCUAUCACGGCUGAUUCAUCGCCUAACUACCACCCAUCUACGUUGGGAUAGGACCGCCCUUCAACAUGAACUCCCCACCAUGAUCCGUACGCACCUCCUUAACCUGCCUGCCAGAAGCGUGCUCCAGUUCCGCUAUCAUUACCACCAUCUUCUGAUAGACCUCCUCCUUGGUCGCUGUAAACGCAACAGCUGAAAGACCGGUAUGGUCGUCAAGCAGAGUUGUCACGUAACACGAACCACUAGGGGAAGGUUCAGGCAUAGGUAGGGCUGGCACGGGUACUACAUUAGAAAAGAGUACUAUACUAGAAUAGGGAGACCCCCGAAUUAGUCGGGAGCGCGAGAUUAUGGCUAGCUACUGAGAUGUGGAGUUGAGGUCACAGUUAUUGGACCAGAUUCGUACGCUGGAUUGGUGGCGAUUGCCGAACCCUCCGUCUCUUCGGUUGUUCGGGUGAAUGGAUGAGGAGGGGUCCCUGAAGGCUGGAUCCGCCGCCUUGGACUUACAGUUCGUAUGGCGAAGUACAGUGUGGUAGUGGUGGAUGGUGCUAUAAGGUGAUAAAUCGUAGAACUGAUAAUGUCAUAAAGUGGCCCAGAAGCCUCUCACUCUGUAACAUUACACAUUACACUAGAAUAGUACUAUGCAUAGUACUACAUAGUAUGCAGGGCUCUAAACUGGCACUAGUUUACGAUGCUCGUACCGCGUUCGUACAUAGUAUAAUAAUAUAGUAAAAAUAGUACUAGAUAGCACUAGAUUUGGGUUUGGAUAGUGUCAAGUAUUAGUUGGACCAAGUCGAGAUCUGCAGUCAAGCUGUAUUUUGAAGGCUAUAGCCGCGUCUUCGAGCUGUGCUACAUAGUUUUGAUGAAUAAUGUCGAGGGAAUCCAGUAUAAAUAAUGACACGGUGAUGGUGCUUGAACAGCGGGCAGCGUCACUCAGCCAGCAACAGCAACAGAGUGGAACCAGCUCCGUGCCAGCAAGGCGGAUCAGCAGGUCCACUCCAAGCACCGGCGCGGCAUUGAUGGCCAGACCCCCCUCCCGGUGAUUCCCGCGACUCUCGCGGGGCAAGUCGUGGAGGACCUUUGGCAUGUACAGGAACAACAUGCCUAUUCACCUGAUCAAGAAGCCCGAGUUGCGGAACCUAUUCGGGCUGCUGGGCGUCACCCUGCCGAACCGGAAGCAGUUGAACUUCACUAGUAUGACGUCCGUGUGUUGUCUUGUGAACACUGGGUCUUCUAUCUGUGAUUAUGUCUUUAUGUGCCAUAACACGCCUUGAGACAUUUGGUCCACCCACCAGGCACUGAACUAACAAAAAGUGAUCUUGAUGACCGCAGCGAUCUGCUUUCUAAUGUCUAAGUAGCUAUUUAGAAAGAACAAAAGAAGAUCUUUCCAACGGUGUAAUUUUCAGGUACAACGGUUGGCUGUACACCCCCCUUCUACUGGGAGCGUGCACCUGCCUAGUAAUAGUAUCAUAGUAUUACAUUACUAUAUAUAGUACUAUUUCUUACCAUACUAUGAUAUUUGGGUUUUAAAUUAUAGUAUUUUUGCCAACCCUAGGCAUAGGUCCACACACAUCCAUGGUCUGGUCUGGAUUGACACUACUGCGAUUCGCGGUUUAAGGUCCUGGGUUCGAUUCCUGGGGAGACCCCGAAUUAGUCGGGAGCGCGAGAUUAUGGCUAGCUGCUGAGAUGUGGAGUUGAGGUCGCAGUUGAUGGACCAGAUUCGCACGCUGGAUUGGUGGCGAUUGCCGAACCCUCCGUCUCUUCGGUUGUUCGGGUGAAUGGAUGAGGAGGGGUCCUCGACGGCUGGACCCGCCGCCUUGGACUUACAGUUCGUAUGGCGAAGUAUAGUGUGGUAGUGGUGGAUGGUGCUAUAAGAUGAUAAAUCGUAGAACUGACAAUGUGAUAAAAGCGGCCCAGAAGCCUCCCACUCUGUAACAUUACAUUACAUCCAUGUGAACUAGUGCUAGUGGCUGGGCUGCCUUGUGCCCUGUCAGCAGAAAAUGACCUCGUGUCUGCUUUGCAAAAAUGCAGGUCUCACAAACACACAUGCUGGCUUUCUGAAAGCUGUGCUGGUCGACGUCAAAUCCCAUUACCAUAUUGUGGCGCAGCAACACCUCGAGGUUGCUGUAGCCCAGAUGUCCGUAACACCGAUGCCAAAGUGUUGCAUGCUCCGUCUUGGAAUCCACGGCGGUGCACGUUGUACCAUGUCCGUUGUCACAGUAGCUCGUAUUCUGCGUCCUCCUGAUGGUGCCUGUACUUCCACCUCGAUAGCAAAUGGGGUAGAGAUCACCGUCCCGUUCACCGGUCAACACUAAAUGAUUUUGCAAGUAUACCUUUACUUGACUGUCACCGAAGACUGCUCAAGCCCAAGCUCCAUGCACAUCGCACUAAACUGGAUUUGCCACGUGGAGUAGUUGUGGAGGUCCAGCGGCUCAUCAAGCUUAUCCUUGACCAUUGUCGAUAGGGGAUAGAAAUAACAACCAGGCAGGCGGCUGGCAGAGGUUAAGGCCUGACUUCUGCUCCCGGUCGACCCGGGUUCAAAUCCGCCUGCCGACCUCUCGGGUGUUUGAGAGGUGGUGAUAUGGGAGGUGGCCCCCCAUCUUGUGGACGGUGUAGGACGUGAUAAAAUCAACUCGCGAGCUGACCAGGAACUAAGUUGAGGCGCCGUCGAUCCGCUAGAUUUGGUUGGAUGCUGGUGGUGAGUUGCCAAACUCAAAGAGUACACUCUGAAGUCUGAUGGGGUGAAUGGCUUAGGGUGCCCCUCUAGCAGGGGAGAGCAGGGAAUUGCCUCGGGAAGGAGGCCACUGGUGAAUCUUAACCACCCUGUAACAACAUCAACAUCAACAUCCACAACCUAACUAAGUUGAUGCACCGUUGAUCCGCUAGAUUUGGUUGGAUGCUGGUGGUGAGUUGCCAAACUCAAAGAGUACACUCUGAAGUGGGAUGGGGUGAAUGGCUUAGGGUGCCCCUCUAGCAGGGGAGAGCAGGGAAUUGCCUCGGGAAGGAGGCCACUGGUGAAGAUUAACCACCCUGUAACAACAUCAACAACAUCAACAACCUGACGAUAGCUGUCGGCGCUACACGGGGCUCAUAACCUAUUGGAGAAUUGGUGAUGGUGACGGCUGACACUGAUUGUUAUUCCGAAAGAAUUGCCGGUGGCGAAGAUAUCAGGCACGAUUAAUUGUUACAAGUAAUGUAAAAAACUGUAAAUUGCGUUAGGCAGGACUUGAGGAGAUUCCUGGUAGGAAUACCGAUCGUUCUGAGAUAAACAAAUAAGCGCAGUCACCGCCCUUGUUACGUUAAGGCUUAUCACAACCAGUCAUGGUGGUGUCGAAAGACACCGGAUGCGAUUACAGCAGAGAAGGUGUAGCCAUCCAGUGUACGACCCGCACUAAUGUACGACGUCGCAAAAGGAAGAUCUUGAGAAUAGCUGAGUGAACCCCGUUGAAGAGAAACAUUGAGAGUUAUGUAACUGCUCUUGCACGUUACAUCAUUCCCCCCCUAAAUGGCUGGUCGUCCCGACAGCCAGCCAACCUUGGCUUCACCGCCACACGAGAGGAAAAAGCAGGGCUUCCGGAACCCCACUGGUGACAGACAAGUGGUUGAGAAAAGCAUUAAAGCGCGAAGGCUUUUUGAUCACACGGCCGUGACGAGUAGUCUGAGGAGCUCGAUGCGGCUUCGAGCCAGAAGCGUCAGCGUCACCCGAAAGUGUCGCCUGACCUUGGGACUUCGAGGUUGGAACUGAGUCAGAUUGACGUGCCCAAUAGUCGCGCAACAAAUCGCCGCAGUUAGUUAGGUUCGUUUCGGGUUCCCACGAAUCAAAUUCCGGGCCCUGACCUUUCCAACGCAUUAAGUAGAAACGCUUUUGUCGACGUCCUUCUUUCACUUCUUUAUGAAGUAGAAUGGACUCAACUUCGAACUCCAAUUCACCCUCAACAAUCUGAGGUGGCGGAGGUAGCUGAACGCGACCACCAUCUUGAUACGGACGAAGGAGUGACACAUGAAAUACAUCAUGUAUCCGCACCGCAGGAGGAAGAUCCAACCGAUACGCAACCGCGUUGAUCUUUUCCUUAACCACAAAGGGUCCGAUAAAGCGAGGCAGCAAUUUGCGCACACCUUUAAUAGUCAUGUGUUUCGUACUCAAGAGUACACGAUCACCAACAGAAAGUCCUCGUUCCGAGCGACCUUUGUCAGCCCAUUUCUUCAUCCGAUCUCGAGCAGCAGCCAAGCAAGACUUAGCUCGUUCCAAAGCAUUCUGCAUAUCCGUACUGAAUUUAACAGAUAACGGAUUAGACAGUUUGGCCACGCUUUGCAAGCGCGUCUUGGCCCUCUCCUCCCCCAAUUUGCGAACCAGGUGAGAAGCCGGAGUUAGGGGUUCAUAUCCGUACAUCAACCGAAAAGGAGUAGUUCGCGUAGAUUCAUGCAACGAAUUGUUCAUGGCGAACUCAGCCAUCGGCAGAUAACGGGACCAUGAGGAUUGAUCGCCAGAAACGAAAUGACGCAACAUAUCCUCCAGAACACGAUUUGCACGUUCUGUUUGGCCAUCCGUUUGAGGAUGAUAACCAGAACUGCGACGCAAGUCGAUUUGAUAUCCAUCAAAAAGCGACUCGAAAAAGGCAGAGGUAAACUUAGGAUCCCUGUCGCAAAUGACGACAGACGGAACACCGUACGAACACACAAUGGUGUUGACGAAGAUUUCAGCCGCUUUGACAGAGUCAACAGAGGCCUUACAGGGCACAAACCGAACCAUCUUGGUGAGUUUGUCCACAAACACAUAGAUCGAAGUAUUGCCAUCAGGAUCGGGAGGCAGAUCAGUAAUAAAAUCCAUGGUCACGAAAGACCACUUCUGAUCAGGAAUCGGCAGCGGAAGAAGCAAACCACCAGGGAGACUGGUAUCUGCCUUUACCCUCUGACAGCUGUCACACGUACGACAGUACGCUGCGACGGAUUGACGCAGCCUAGGCCACCAAAACGAACGACGCACCAAAUCAAGAGUUUUGGUUACGCCCGUAUGGCCUGCCAACGGAUGGUCAUGACAAAGACGCAGAACGGUAGUACGCAAAUCAGCAUGAUCUGGCACAACCAAAGCAUCUCCUCGAUACCAGAAUUGACCACGUUGCGAUAAUGCAACCGUGUUUUCUGAUAUUUUAAACCAAGGAUCGAUACCAUACCCAUCAAGUACCGAUGACUCGAACAUAGGAAAAGAGCACUGAAGCUCUACGGUGGUGUCACGGAAGGCAGAAAUUUCUCCCAACCGUUGAGCACUAAUCGUCAUAACCUUCGUCGUUUCAACAUCGACGUGUCCCGGAAGCCGAGACAACGGAUCUGCAGGAUUGCAACGACCCGCGCGAUACUGCCAUUCGAAAUCGAAAGACUCCAGAAAUUCCGACCACCGCGCCACACGUCGAGACAACAGAGACUUACGGCGCAUGGCGGUGUUAGGUUCGUGAUCUGUAACGACCGUAAACUUUACACCUUCGAGGUAACAACGCCACAAUUUGAGCGCAUGCACAACGGCCAAGAGCUCUUUUUCAGUGACGAUGUAGUUCAACUCAGCAGGAAUCAGUUUACGGCUCUCAAAAGCCACUGGCCUUCCAUGCUGGAGCAAAAUUGCACCCAAUGCGAAGUCGCUAGCAUCCGCGAUCACCUCGAAAGGUUCACGAGGAUCCGGCAAAGCAAGCACUGGCGCCCGAGUGAGCGCUUCCUUAACACGAAGGAAAGCCUCGUCGCAUUUCUCCGACCAAAACCACUUAGUCUUAGGAGAAAGCAAGUCCGUUAGCGGUUUAACCAAAGCCGCAUACGCACGAAUAAAUUUCCUGAAGUAAUUAGCAAGACCCAGGAAGGAUCGAAGCUCCGAAACAUUCUUGGGCACAGGCCACUGUUGGACAACAGCAGUCUUCCGAGGAUCGGGCCGUACACCGUCGGCCGAUACGAUAUGCCCCAAAAACGAAACGGACGGUUUGAAGAACUCGCACUUGGACAGCUUACAGUAGAACUGACGCUGUUCGAGACGUUCAAGCACUGCACGCAGAUGCUCAACGUGUUCAUCGGCGGUCUUCGAGAAGAUCAGAAUAUCGUCCAGAUACACUACCACGAACGGCAAACCCUGCAAGGCUUGAUUCAUGGCAGACUGGAAGACAGCAGGAGCAUUAGUCAGGCCAAAAGGCAUAACUUUAUACUGAUAAUGCCCGAAAGGAGUGCGAAACGCGGUACGCUCCACAUCGCUAGGAUUUAACCGUAACUGGUGAUAACCCUGCGUUAAAUCGAGUGAGCUGAAAACUGUCGCACCUCGCAAACGAUCCAACAAAUCAUCUAUCCGAGGCAACGGAAAACGAUUUUUGAUCGUGAGGCUGUUGACUGCGCGAUAGUCAACACACAUACGUAAAGUGCCAUCCUUCUUCUUAACGAACAUAGAGGGUAGGACAAACUGUCGGGCAGAGCAAUUCUUUUGACUGCCCCGGUCGCACAAUUCCCGUGCUUCCCUAAUUCGACACCCUGAACACGCUAAUUCUGACUGUCCGAAUGUCCCUGCCAGGCCAAUUCGGCACCCUGUCAGCCUAAUUCUGACUGUCGGAAUGUCCCGCCAGGCUAAUUCGUAUCCCUGUCAGGCUAAUUCUGACUGUCGGAAUGUCCCUGCCAGGCCAAUUCUUAUCCCUGUCAGGCCAAUUCAAGGGCCUGUCCCGGCAAUUCAACUUGUCCCAGGUGUCAAUUUAAACCCUUCUACCGAGCAAUCUAGACCAAUUGCAGGGUCUGCCCCCAAACUCUCAGGCACGCAUUCAGAAUCGCGGAAGUUGAAGGAACUUUACGAAACAAGGGGAGCACUUACAAAUAUCUCUCGUAUGUUUGUUGGUUUCAAAUCCGUACAUGCUUGUACGGNNNNNNNNNNNNNNNNNNNNNNNNNNNNNNNNNNNNNNNNNNNNNNNNNNCCUUGUUACCGUACUCCGUACUCAUUCACCCAUACAUUCAUUGUGUGUGUAUGUGUGAAAAGUUACCAUCACCCGAACCGACCAAAACCAAAGGUGUGUCUGCAUGGCAAGUCGCUCACAAUUUUAACACCCGGUCUAUUCAUUCAUUCAUUCCUUCGUUCAGACAAGCAGACAUAUCCACACGCCUCGUCUUGAACUGUGCUUCAGUCCUGCUAAGGGCCCCCGGCACUCGACCAGACUACAUGUGUUCAAAAAGAUACCACCACCCGAACCGAACCAAACCAGGGGCAUGUUAACCACACCUUUCAUUCGUCCAUUCAUUCAUACAUCCAAUCAUUCACGCAGACAAAGAAAUGUAAGCACACGCGCCUGCCCUGCAGUAGUGUGGCCCGGCACAAAGUAGCUGUAGUAGCUGGUACACAGUAAGCCAGGGUACCCAGUCGACCCGGGUUCAAAUCCGCCUGCCGGCUCCUCGGGUGUUUGAGGAGUGAUGAAAUGGGAGGUGGCCCCCCAUCUUAUGGACGGUGUAGGACGUGAUAAUAUCAACUUGCGAGCUGACCAGGAACUAAGUUGAUGCGCCGUUGAUCCGCUAGAUUUGGUUGGAUGCUGGUGGUGAGUUGCCGAACCCAACGAAUACAUUCUGAAGUCGGAUGGGGUGACGGAUUAGGGUGCCCCUCUAGCAGGGGAGAGCAGGGACUGCCCCGGGAAAGGGGGCCGCUGGCGAAGUUGACCACCCUGUAACAACAUACAGUAAGCACAGUAAGCUGGUACACACAUAGCACGACCACCAGCAUCUCGAGAGGCCUUUUCAGCCGCCAGCUACUAAAUAAUGCAUGAACGUCACAUAGAGGAAGGUAGCAUAAUACGAGCCGUCAACGAUAGGACCAUCACCGCCAACCGGACUGUGUGAACCUGUCUCCAGUGCGUCACGCAGCACACUGACUGCCUUGACGCUUCCAGUUGAGGGAUCCAUGUCGAGGUCGGCCAACCUGUCUGUCAGUGAAUGGCGGUAAGUCAGCCACAAACCAGUCUGUACCUAAUUCCAGGUUGGAUAGAGCCUACUUGAGAGUGGCGCGCUGGUUCUGUUUGUCCUUGUAGUUGAGAUCCUGGGACGAGAUGUUGACAUGGGGCAUGCGCUUGCUCAGCGCGCGCAGUGCANNNNNNNNNNNNNNNNNNNNNNNNNNNNNNNNNNNNNNNNNNNNNNNNNNNNNNNNNNNNNNNNNNNNNNNNNNNNNNNNNNNNNNNNNNNNNNNNNNNNNCGCCAGCCAAUGUGCAUUUGGUCAAUGACGGGUUGGAGCACGGACACCCACGUCACUGGAAGGGGCAAUGUAAAAAGCUACCUCCUCCUGCUGGCGUUGUUGUCCUUUGACGCUGAGACCCCGGAUGAUACCCCGCAGCAACUGUUGAAUUGUGCCGUCAACGAGUCCUGAAUGUCAAUCGAUGUCCGAUGGUUAACAAGUCAAGGCAUGUGUACGCGCACGCCAGCCUACACUACUCACGCAUGCCGACACUGCAUCAUACCUCGUUGUUGUGAUGUUUCGAGCAGUCGGACCGAGCGUAUGCCUGUAGCCUCACUCUAUCAGCCUGGAAAAGGGAUGUCCGCCGCUUAAUCUCCCUGUCCAGCGCUAUUCGAUCUGCCCGCGGAUGUGACCGCCUUGAGCUCAACAUGUCCCACACGCUCAAGUCCCUCGGCAGAACGGAAGGGGACAAUGACACGUGGAUCUGUCGCGACUCGCUGUGUCGCAGCGACUCGCAGUGAAGCAGCGUCGGCUGAACGCUUCAAUUGGUGAUUUCUGUUGAGGGCCAGACACGCGGCACACGGCCGUCCAGCUGCGGAGGAGAAACUGCAGACAACGGACCGGAUGGAGUCGAUUUCGCCGUAUGCUGGAAGCUGAUUAUCCCGGAAGAAUGUAUCCGCCUGUGGCGCCAUGUCAGGAUUCCCAUGUGGGUUAACAUUUGUCAGGCAGACCAACACGCUAGCCUUGCCUUUGCCCGACCCACAUGCACUGACCUUAUCAAACCGCCAUGCCAUCAACAACCCGGGGUACAGGCUAGCGCGCGCCCUGCAUCGCCGCCCGUGUCCAUGAUGGCGGCCUCAAUGUCCCGCGGCCCCAACACACCCGCCUGGGAACAGCCGUAUAGGCAGGCGUAACAUUCGUCGCGCAGUCCAGGGCACGACAUCCCACCGAUAACACGGCGCCGACGCUCGGCUAGUUGUUGCAGGAAGGGGCGCGCUGGACGGGCGCCUGGCAUGGGUAACGGACCGGGCAACGGCGCCGUGCUUCGAAGCCCGCGCUGCGACAACAGGUCUGAAAACAUGGCCUGCAUACCGGCAUCCGUAUCCAACACUGCCGGUGCGAAGGCUGCGAAGGACGCAUACUUAACUCCACAGCUAGAUCCAUCGAAGCCACAAAGCGCCUGAACACAAAAUUGUGGGUACAGGACCGUGCAUGGCGCUGGGUGGCCACAGCAACACAAGUGAAUCGUGUGCUGGCGUCCACAGACUCUGCAAUCAAGCUGACGUUUCUCCAGGACUUCCAUAGCAGAGGCCGGAGACUUCUCCGCCCCGAAUACCUUCAUGCAUGCACCAUGGUUCAUUUAGCACCGUUCGACACAAGAACCUAUGGUGAUAAUAUAAACUGGCAUACUUAUAACAAUGGUUUACCGAGAUUUUUAGAAAUGCUUCCCUACUGUCUAAAUACCUUCAGCUUUUUAAAAGGAUCACGCCUUAGAUAUUGCUCAACAACGGCAUAGAGAUGUAUAAGUAUACCAAAAGCACUUCCAGCGCCGCGCACUGUCACGAAUUAAUGCAUACACCACGCUUCCGUACAACAAGAGUUUGGUGCGCAUGUAAGUAUGGGUUGCGAGCGUAUCACAGUCGAUANNNNNNNNNNNNNNNNNNNNNNNNNNNNNNNNNNNNNNNNNNNNNNNNNNNNNNNNNNNNNNNNNNNNNNNNNNNNNNNNNNNNNNNNNNNNNNNNNNNNNNNNNNNNNNNNNNNNNNNNNNNNNNNNNNNNNNNNNNNNNNNNNNNNNNNNNNNNNNNNNNNNNNNNNNNNNNNNNNNNNNNNNNNNNNNNNNNNNNNNNNNNNNNNNNNNNNNNNNNNNNNNNNNNNNNNNNNNNNNNNNNNNNNNNNNNNNNNNNNNNNNNNNNNNNNNNNNNNNNNNNNNNNNNNNNNNNNNNNNNNNNNNNNNNNNNNNNNNNNNNNNNNNNNNNNNNNNNNNNNNNNNNNNNNNNNNNNNNNNNNNNNNNNNNNNNNNNNNNNNNNNNNNNNNNNNNNNNNNNNNNNNNNNNNNNNNNNNNNNNNNNNNNNNNNNNNNNNNNNNNNNNNNNNNNNNNNNNNNNNNNNNNNNNNNNNNNNNNNNNNNNNNNNNNNNNNNNNNNNNNNNNNNNNNNNNNNNNNNNNNNNNNNNNNNNNNNNNNNNNNNNNNNNNNNNNNNNNNNNNNNNNNNNNNNNNNNNNNNNNNNNNNNNNNNNNNNNNNNNNNNNNNNNNNNNNNNNNNNNNNNNNNNNNNNNNNNNNNNNNNNNNNNNNNNNNNNNNNNNNNNNNNNNNNNNNNNNNNNNNNNNNNNNNNNNNNNNNNNNNNNNNNNNNNNNNNNNNNNNNNNNNNNNNNNNNNNNNNNNNNNNNNNNNNNNNNNNNNNNNNNNNNNNNNNNNNNNNNNNNNNNNNNNNNNNNNNNNNNNNNNNNNNNNNNNNNNNNNNNNNNNNNNNNNNNNNNNNNNNNNNNNNNNNNNNNNNNNNNNNNNNNNNNNNNNNNNNNNNNNNNNNNNNNNNNNNNNNNNNNNNNNNNNNNNNNNNNNNNNNNNNNNNNNNNNNNNNNNNNNNNNNNNNNNNNNNNNNNNNNNNNNNNNNNNNNNNNNNNNNNNNNNNNNNNNNNNNNNNNNNNNNNNNNNNNNNNNNNNNNNNNNNNNNNNNNNNNNNNNNNNNNNNNNNNNNNNNNNNNNNNNNNNNNNNNNNNNNNNNNNNNNNNNNNNNNNNNNNNNNNNNNNNNNNNNNNNNNNNNNNNNNNNNNNNNNNNNNNNNNNNNNNNNNNNNNNNNNNNNNNNNNNNNNNNNNNNNNNNNNNNNNNNNNNNNNNNNNNNNNNNNNNNNNNNNNNNNNNNNNNNNNNNCGAACAGGUCAAUUCGAUACCCUGUCAGGCUAAUUCAAUACCCUGUUAGGCCAAUUCGGCACCCGGACAGGCCAAUUCGACACCCGGACAGGCCAAUUCAGGCGCAGCACAGCCCAAUUCCGAGGCUCCACAGCGCAAUUCGAAUACCUCCGGCGGGUCCGCCAGAACAAUUCCAGACCUCGGCAGACCAAUUCUUUUGUCAGGAAUAAAAUCCAGGCUAAUUCUGCGACAGAGCUCUUCCCUAAUUCCAGCCCGAAUCCUACCCUCCUACGAACAAGACAGGCGCACCAAAGGGCGAACACGAAGGUUCAAUAAAUCCCUUCUCCAAAAGAUCCGAAAUUUGCCUUUGCAUUUCCUCUUGCUCAGGGAGCGAAUAGCGAAACAUGCGUUGAGCAGGUGGACGAGCACCAGGCUCCAACGGAACGACAGGCGGCAAAUUACGAUCAGGAGGUAACGAAGCAGGCAACUGGUCUGGAAAUAAAUGCGCUUUUUCCAGCAACAAAGCCUUAAGACGCAAAUCCGCAGGUGACUCGCCGCGCACGACGUCACUAACCUUCUGCGCGAAAGCGGAAACAGACGAAUGCGAUGGCGGAAGUGACGACUCCUCCCCCGGCAAAUUGACAGCAUCCGGAACAGGAUCCGCAGCCGAGACGAGACAUAGGUAGAACGUGUCACUCUCCUCCAUGGCCUGCGCAAGUGAGCAAUGCGCAACUGCAUCCAGAACUUCAGGAGAAGAACCNNNNNNNNNNNNNNNNNNNNNNNNNNNNNNNNNNNNNNNNNNNNNNNNNNUUGAACGAGUCGAACGGGGACCAGAGCCAGACGCUCCAGCACCAGAGCCAGAAGCACCUUGACGCGAUGAAUCUGACGAAGGUGAANCGGAGGACUUGAGUUCCUCCGCGUAAGUCUUCAAGACGUGAAGAAAACAGUCCAAACUGGUCCAUGGGCGCCUGAUUUCGACAGUGCGAUCGUACAUGAGACGAUCACGUAAGCUGUCAGGCAACAGACGAACCAGUUGAUAGACGAUAAGCUCCUCAGGAGUCGCAGCCGGCAGCUCCCGACGAAUGUCGUGAAGAUGUUGAAGCACUUGCUCCACUGAACACGCUGGUUUGGCGUUGAACAUACGGCAAAGUGCAUUGUAAGAGGAGGCGCCGGAUGACAGAACAACGGCUUCAGUGAACCAGUUUAGAAGCCAAGAAGCGCUGGGAAUCACUGGCGGCGUCAACGCGGAAAGCGAUUUACGAAGAUCUGUAACGAGAGACGCCGGACCCACACUUAAGACGACCCAAUUGGUGGCAGCUGAAUCAGAAAGAGUGUAGCCGGCCAAGUCGAGGUAUCCAACUAAAUCGUCGACCAAGAAAGAUAGGUAAUCGGGCAAACUCAAUUGCACUUUGGCUGCAGCGUCCGCUGAGACAAGACGACGUCUGUCAGGCUGCGGAGGCUCGAGGGGGCGCAGGCGCCGAGUAACAGUGCCCGGCUGUGAAUCGGACAUUGUAGCAUCACCGUUGACCGGCGACGGAAGCGGCACCGGAUCCACGGCAGUAGAAAUAGGAACAGCCCGAGGUUGUGACCCAGAAGGCUGAUCAGGCGAGGCGACUGUAGGCGCCGGUGCAAGCGCCAAGGCCGCCAUCGGCGAAGUAACGGUGUUUACCGCCGGAUCGGCUGAAACUCCAGUAUUCAUCCUCGGAGAAGAUACAGGAGACGAAGAAGUUUGAAGAACAGUAGGUAAAGCCGACCGACGAUAAAGUGAAAGAAAUGGACGAAAAAGCAUAAUCCCAGAAAGAAAAAUUUCACCGUCUCGAUGCCAAUGUUACGUUAAGGCUUAUCACAACCAGUCAUGGUGGUGUCGAAAGACACCGGAUGCGAUUACACCAGAGAAGGUGUAGCCAUCCAGUGUACGACCCGCACUAAUGUACGACGUCGCAAAAGGAAGAUCUUGAGAAUAGCUGAGUGAACCCCGUUGAAGAGAAACAUUGAGAGUUAUGUAACUGCUCUUGCACGUUACAGCCCUAAAUACCAGCGCUAGAGGAAAAGUCAUACAUUCCGCGAUCUAACUGCACGUACAUUCCGCGAUCUCACUGCGCCGUCCUGACCAAAUGUCUAUCACUGGAUGCAUACCCAGGCGGUUGCUCCAUCCACAAUUCCUCCUUCAGCUCACCAUUCAGAAACGCAGUAGACACAUCGAGCUGAUGUACCGUCAUGUUCCGGGCUGCGGCAACUGCUAAUAAAGCACGCAAUGACGAACCACGAGAGGUAGGGGCAAACAACUCCCCAUAAUCAAUCCCCUCACGUUGCUCGAAACCCUUGGCAACUAAACGCGCCUUAAAACGCUCCACGCUGCCGUCAUCGCUGUACUUAACCUUAUACACCCAACGACACGGCAACAAACGAGUACCAGGAGGUGGCUUCUUCAGCUCCCAAGUACUAUUAGCCAUCUGGGCGGCGAUCUCCUCGUCCAUCGCAUGCCGCCAGUCGUCUGCAUGUGGACUUGCAAUUGCUUCCUCAAACGAAUUAGGCUCAGGAAUACCAGCAGAGAAAGCAGCGUUAACGCGACCAGUGACAGUGCGACCAGGUUCGUUUCGCCACCAUUCGCCAGGGCGUUUACGCUCUCUAACUGGAUAUCUAGUUCCNNNNNNNNNNNNNNNNNNNNNNNNNNNNNNNNNNNNNNNNNNNNNNNNNNCGACGAUCUUGGGUGCUGCAGUCGAACCGUCAGGCGGCUUAACCACCAAACCCACGCGCCGUGCAAAACCUGCGCUGAGUAAAUGAGCGGCUUGACUGCCCGAAUCGAGCAAGAUGGUCGCCUCCUGUUGGCAAACAGAACCUGCGAACUGCAUAGCCAAACUGGGAGACACCGAAAAAGGGACGGUUGUCGCAACACAAACAGCCGACUCAGAAGGAGACUCGGCAGGAGCAUCAUACCAGAACUCCAUCGGCGAGGAAACUCCCUGCACACGAGACAUUUUACCUUUUCCCGACGACACGGAAAACAGGUGAUACCCCGCGUGGUACUCGUGAAGCUUUUUCAUGCCUGCAAGCAGAGGACGCCAACGCGCUGUAACCCAUUUAGGAAGCAAAAAUCCCCCAGACGUGGUCGAUGGCGCAAUCGACUUGCAACGCAGGUAGUGACGCAGGAAAUCUUGAAUACGCGCCCGAGGCGGAUGCAUCCAAACGUGAUGUCCUGCGCAGCUAUCAUGCAAAAAGCUGCGAGAAGGCGAACUAUACUUCGGACACAAGGCAUUAGACCCAUCGUUAGAUGCGCAUGCAUCCCAAGUGAAGUGACGACCGGAAAGCUGCUGCAAGUGCUGAAAUUCGUGCUUGCGAAUGCAAAGUUCUUGAGGCGGAGGGACAUCUGCAACCGGCAUCGAACUGUUCGUCUUUGUGUUACAAUAGCGAGAAGGCUCUGUAACCAGACGUACGUUAAAAGCCGCGUUCAGUUCCGACUGAGAACGAUUCACAACGCGAUCACUUGCGUUUGACAACUUCACAGGCGCACUCGACAUAGUCGCCAAAAACUUGUGCGCUUGCCGCUGAGGCACGCCCGCAGGCGUCGGCUCAACCGACACAGCCACAGAUGGUCCAGAAACAACAGGUUCUGCGACACACAAAUCACGAUUAUUCUGCACAGCCAAAGAAGCCAUCGCAGACAACACCGAAAAAUCAACGUCUUGUUCAACAGGCGCGAGGUCAACUCCGCCAUCGGGUGGGUCAGAACCCGGACAAGACAACGAACGUCACGGCUUAGACAUGGACGGCUUCCGCUCGAAGAAGAAAAAGUCCUUUGGAAACAUGGACUGCGCACGCUCGCAGUCCUGCGCGAAGUGAUUUUCUCCGCGACAUAAAAGGCACUGAUUCUUAUUACGAAGAUUUUGCGCUUGCUGCAUAGUCAAGCCGCGGACCCAGAUUGACUUAGCCCGCCCAGUAGGCUGACGGAAACGAUCAGCCAAAGGAACUAUAUCCGGCAUUGACGCACUCAAACGCGGGCGUUUGGCGUCAGAGUCCGGACAUUGCCGUCCAGCCGAGAUUGAACGAGUCGAACGGGGACCAGAGCCAGACGCUCCAGCACCAGAGCCAGAAGCACCUUGACGCGAUGAAUCUGACGAAGGUGAAGCGGAGGACUUGAGUUCCUCCGCGUAAGUCUUCAAGACGUGAAGAAAACAGUCCAAACUGGUCCAUGGGCGCCUGAUUUCGACAGUGCGAUCGUACAUGAGACGAUCACGUAAGCUGUCAGGCAACAGACGAACCAGUUGAUAGACGAUAAGCUCCUCAGGAGUCGCAGCCGGCAGCUCCCGACGAAUGUCGUGAAGAUGUUGAAGCACUUGCUCCACUGAACACGCUGGUUUGGCGUUGAACAUACGGCAAAGUGCAUUGUAAGAGGAGGCGCCGGAUGACAGAACAACGGCUUCAGUGAACCAGUUUAGAAGCCAAGAAGCGCUGGGAAUCACUGGCGGCGUCAACGCGGAAAGCGAUUUACGAAGAUCUGUAACGAGAGACGCCGGACCCACACUUAAGACGACCCAAUUGGUGGCAGCUGAAUCAGAAAGAGUGUAGCCGGCCAAGUCGAGGUAUCCAACUAAAUCGUCGACCAAGAAAGAUAGGUAAUCGGGCAAACUCAAUUGCACUUUGGCUGCAGCGUCCGCUGAGACAAGACGACGUCUGUCAGGCUGCGGAGGCUCGAGGGGGCGCAGGCGCCGAGUAACAGUGCCCGGCUGUGAAUCGGACAUUGUAGCAUCACCGUUGACCGGCGACGGAAGCGGCACCGGAUCCACGGCAGUAGAAAUAGGAACAGCCCGAGGUUGUGACCCAGAAGGCUGAUCAGGCGAGGCGACUGUAGGCGCCGGUGCAAGCGCCAAGGCCGCCAUCGGCGAAGUAACGGUGUUUACCGCCGGAUCGGCUGAAACUCCAGUAUUCAUCCUCGGAGAAGAUACAGGAGACGAAGAAGUUUGAAGAACAGUAGGUAAAGCCGACCGACGAUAAAGUGAAAGAAAUGGACGAAAAAGCAUAAUCCCAGAAAGAAAAAUUUCACCGUCUCGAUGCCAAUGUUACGUUAAGGCUUAUCACAACCAGUCAUGGUGGUGUCGAAAGACACCGGAUGCGAUUACACCAGAGAAGGUGUAGCCAUCCAGUGUACGACCCGCACUAAUGUACGACGUCGCAAAAGGAAGAUCUUGAGAAUAGCUGAGUGAACCCCGUUGAAGAGAAACAUUGAGAGUUAUGUAACUGCUCUUGCACGUUACAGCCCUAAAUACCAGCGCUAGAGGAAAAGUCAUACAUUCCGCGAUCUAACUGCACGUACAUUCCGCGAUCUCACUGCGCCGUCCUGACCAAAUGUCUAUCACUGGAUGCAUACCCAGGCGGUUGCUCCAUCCACAAUUCCUCCUUCAGCUCACCAUUCAGAAACGCAGUAGACACAUCGAGCUGAUGUACCGUCAUGUUCCGGGCUGCGGCAACUGCUAAUAAAGCACGCAAUGACGAACCACGAGAGGUAGGGGCAAACAACUCCCCAUAAUCAAUCCCCUCACGUUGCUCGAAACCCUUGGCAACUAAACGCGCCUUAAAACGCUCCACGCUGCCGUCAUCGCUGUACUUAACCUUAUACACCCAACGACACGGCAACAAACGAGUACCAGGAGGUGGCUUCUUCAGCUCCCAAGUACUAUUAGCCAUCUGGGCGGCGAUCUCCUCGUCCAUCGCAUGCCGCCAGUCGUCUGCAUGUGGACUUGCAAUUGCUUCCUCAAACGAAUUAGGCUCAGGAAUACCAGCAGAGAAAGCAGCGUUAACGCGACCAGUGACAGUGCGACCAGGUUCGUUUCGCCACCAUUCGCCAGGGCGUUUACGCUCUCUAACUGGAUAUCUAGUUCCCGCCAUUUCCACAUCAGGCUGAUUGAUUCCUUGCCCAUUCGCACUGCUGGAAGGUCCAGCCCCAGCCGGCGCCCCCUCGCCACCCAAGUGCGGCGAUCCCUCGCCGACGGUGCUACCUGGUAUCCCUUCGCCAGCCCUAGGCAGCGAUCCCUCACCAGGCAAACUAGUGCGAAAAUCCUCCUCCUCGUCGACAUCGGACUCAUAAUCGGAGUCCCCGGUAUUACGCCGCCGGCCGACGUUAGAUUCAUCAAAACGAACGUUGGAAACUACGGCAAUAAUGCCGUCCUCGUAUAGUACACGAUACUGUCCACCGUUCCCGUAUCCAACAAGUAUUCCACGCCUGCUCACCGGGUCGAACUUGUCGCGCUUGACGUCGGGUACGUGGACGUAGGCAACGCAUCCAAAGACUCGCAGGUGACUGACGUUCGGACGAACAUUAAAGAAAGCUUCGUACGGAGUGACGGUUGAACCAGCAGUUGGCGACACAUUCCUAAGAUAGUUGGCUGUCGCUAACGCCUCCGCCCAUAAUGAUUUAGGCAGUCCAGACUCAACGAGCAUAGCCCUAGUCUUGUCCAAAAGUGUGCGAUUUAAACGUUCUGCAGCUCCGUUCUGCUCAGGGGUGUAGCCUACCGUAGUCCCGUGUAGAAUACCCCUGGAAGCGAAAUAGGCCUUCGUGCGAGUAUUAACAAACUCCCCGCCACGAUCUGUACGCACCUCCUUAACCUGCCUGCCAGUAGCGCGCUCCAGUUCCGCUAUCAUUACCACCAUCUUCUGGUAGACCUCCUCCUUGGUCGCUGUAAACGCAACAGCUGAAAGACCAGUAUGGUCGUCAAGCAGGGUUGUCACGUAACGCGAACCACUAGGCGAAGGUUCAGGCAUAGGCCCACACACAUCCAUGUGAAUGAGCGCGAGAGGCUGCGCUGCCUUAUGCCCAGAUAACGGAAAAGGACCACGUGUAUGUUUAGCAAGGACGCAAGUCUCACACACACACGUGCUGGCUGAUUGUAUGCUGUGUCGGUCAACAUCAAAUCCAGCUACCAUAUUAUGACGCAGCAACGUCUCAAGGUUGCUGUAUCCCAAGUGGCCAUACCUUCGGUGCCAAAGUGCUGCACGUUCAGCUCCGAUACCCACGGCAGCACACACUGCAUCACCACCAGAAGGUAUCCUGUUGUCUUCACGCUGCGUCCUCUUCAGAGCUCCCGUACCUCCACUGCUGUAGCAGACGGGAUACAAGUCCCCAUCCCGCUUUCCAGUCAGCACCAACUGGUUCUGUACGUAUACUUUCGCCUGUCCGCCGCCGAAGACCACACUGCCUCCACGAUCAUCAAUGAUGCGUACCGAUAUGAUUUUGGCGGUGGCCUCCUCGUCGACGUAGACCUUCUUGAAAGUGAUGGCCUGUUUAUCGUUGACGUUAGACCGAAUCGUAAGCGUGCCAACNNNNNNNNNNNNNNNNNNNNNNNNNNNNNNNNNNNNNNNNNNNNNNNNNNAAUCGCCGUCGCGCAUAAGUAAUGUAGUCGUCACCACGCUGUACCGACUGGGUAGACCAACUAGCACGGUGUACGCCAGCUCGGAGUCGUUAACUACGUGGCCGACUCCCAAUAAAUCUGUUUGCAGCUGCCUUGCACGCGCAAAGUACAUCGGAAGAGGUUCGCCGUCGACCAUUUUAAAACGGCUGAAUUCUUGACGUAGAGACACCUUGCGGGCGUUGUUGUUGGCAGCAAACAUAGAUCCCAAGGCGUCCCAGGCCUUCUUCGCGUUGGCAGCACCGGUAACCAUCGGCAAAUGAUGAUCCUUGACGUUCUUGAUGAGCAGAUUGAUGACCUUCCGUGACUGUCGAAUUUGCUCCUCGUUGCACGGCUCGGCGAGCAGGGAUUGCUCAAGCCCAAGCUCCAUGCACAUCGCGCUAAACCGAAUUUGCCAGGUAGAGUAGUUGUUGAGGUCCAGCGACUCAUCAAGCUUGUCCUUAACCAUUGUCGAUGAGGGAUAGAAAUAACAAUUGAGCGAUAGCUGUCGGCGCUAAGCGGGGCUCAUAACCUAUUGGAGAAUUGGCGACGGUGACGGCUAACGCUGAUUGUUAUCUCGGAAGAAUUGCCGGCGGCGAAGAUAUUUAGCACGAUAAAACGUUACAAGUUAUGUAAAGAGUAUUAUAAGCGUUCGGCAGGACUUGAGGAGAUUCCUGGUAGGAAUACCGAUCGUUGUGAGAUAAACUAAUAGGCGCUGUCACCGCCCUAAAUACCGGCGCUAGCGGAAAACUCGUACAUUCCGCGAUCUCACUGCGCCGUUAGCUGCACGUACAUUCCGCGAUCUCACUGCGCCGUCCAGACGGUGCCCUAAUGUCUAUCACUUAGCUACCGGAUAUACAUCGGUAGCCCCAUAAGGUUCUGGGGUAAGUCUUCCCCAUUAGUCAGGCGCAGACCCGGGGUCAAAUCCCCUGGUCGACAACCACACGAGUUGGGAGAGGACCGUUUCCUCAACAGUGUUAACGCUGCUUUCUCUGCUGGUAUUCCUGAACCUAAUUCGUUUGCAGAAGCCAUUGCAAGUCCACAUGCAGACGACUGGCGGCGUGCGAUGGACGAGGAGAUCGCCGCCCAGAUGGCUACUUGGGAGCUGAAGAAGCCACCUCCUGGUACUCGUUUGUUGCCGUGUCGUUGGGUGUAUAAGGUUAAGUACAGCGAUGACGGCAGCGUGGAGCGUUUUAAGGCGCGUUUAGUUGUAAAGGGGGUUCAACGGGGGUUCAAGCAACGCGAGGGGAUUGAUUUUGGGGAGUUGUUUGCCCCUACCUCUCGUAGUUCGUCAUUACGUGCUUUCUUAGCAGUUGCCGCAGCGCGGAACAUGACGGUGCACCAGCUCGAUGUGUCUACUGCGUUUUUUAAUGGUAAGCUGAAGGAGGAGUUGUGGAUGGAGCAACCGCCUGGGUAUGCAUCCAGUGACCGGUCGCUUGCGUGCAAGCUGCAGAAGUCUAUUUACGGUUUGAAGCAGGCACCCCGUUGCUGGUAUGAAAAGAUAUCAGCAGAGUUCGCCAAGCUGGGUCUUUAUCCUUCGAAGUCUGAUCCGGCGAUGUUCGUUAAGACUGACGAGCGUGGGGUUGUUCUUGCUUUAGUGCACGUCGCAGCAUAGGUAUAUUGCGCAGCUAUUGGAGCGUCAUAAGUUGGUUGACGCCAAGCCGAGGUCUACCCCUUUGCCUCUGGGCUUUAGGUACACUCCUACGGGGGACGGAGAAAAGCUGCUGGACAAUCCCACGGAGUAUAGGGCUUUGGUGGGGGAAUUGAAUUACCUAGCGACGAACACGCGGCCUGACAUUUCGUAUGCAUUGAGUGUUUUGUCCCGGCAUAUGGCCGCACCCACGAAGAGUGCUGUGAACUUAGCAAUUGGCGUUCUGCAUUACCUGGCGGGUACUCGCGAACUAGGAUUACGUUUUGGGGGUGUUGGUGACAUUGAUAGCGGGUAUAGCGAUUCUGACUGGGCAGGAGACCCAGUUACGCCGCGUUCUACUUCCGGCUACGUUUUCACUCUUGAAGGGGCUGCGAUUAGCUGGAGCAGUCAACUUCAACGUACUGUGGCAGCUUCGUCGGUGGAGGCCGAGUAUCAAGCGACAGCGGCAGCUGUUCGCGAGGCUUUGUGGCUUCACAAACUGAUGGUUGAUUUGGGUUUACCUGAGAGCGCUAUCAAGAUUCAAAUAAAUUCCCAGGGGGCGCCUAGCUUAGGAAAUAACCCGAUUACGUUUGCUCGGUCGAAGCACAUCGACGUACAGCAUCACAUAGUGCGUGAUAGGGUGAAUAGCGGUGAGGUGCAGUUGGAAUACUGCCCUACGGAGUGGAUGGUUGCGGAUGUGCUCACGAAGGCUCUGGGCGAGGUGAAAUUCAAACGUUGCCGAGAUGCGAUGGGCCUUGUGUGAAGCGUGCUGAUGAACUUGGUACUCGUUGGGAUACGGCCCGAGGGGGCGUGUUGAGGAAAUGGUCCUCUCCCAACUCGUGUGGUUGUCGACCAGGGGAUUUGACCCCGGGUCUGCGCCUGACUAAUGGGGAAGACUUACCCCAGAACCUUAUGGGGCUACCGAUGCAUAUCCGGUAGCUAAGUGAUAGACAUUAGGGCACCGUCUGGACGGCGCAGUGAGAUCGCGGAAUGUACGUGCAGUUAGAUCGCGGAAUGUACGAGUUUUCCGCUAGCGCCGGUAUUUAGGGCGGUGACUGCGCCUAUUAGUUUAUCUCACAACGAUCGGUAUUCCUACCAGGAAUCUCCUCAAGUCCUGCCGAACGCUAACAAUACUCUUUACAUUACUUGUAACAGUUUAUCGUGCUAAAUAUCUUCGCUACCGGCAAUCCUUCCGGAAUAACAAUCAGCGUUAGCUGUCACCGUCGCCAAUUCUUCAAUAGGUUAUGAGCCCCGCUUAGCGCCGACAGCUAUCGCUCAAUUGUUAUUUCUAUCCCUCAUCAACAAUGGUUAAGGACAAGCUUGAUGAGUCGCUGGAUCUCAACAACUACUCUACCUGGCAAAUUCGGUUCAGCGCGUUGUGCAUGGAGCUUGGGCUUGAGCAAUCCCUGCUCGCCGAGCCGUGCAACGAGGAGCAAAUUCGACAGUCACGGAAGGUCAUCAAUCUGCUCAUCAAGAACGUCAAGGAUCAUCAUUUGCCGAUGGUUACCGGUGCUGCCAACGCGAAGAAGGCCUGGGACGCCUUGGGAUCUAUGUUUGCUGCCAACAACAACGCCCGCAAGGUGUCUCUACGUCAAGAAUUCAGCCGUUUUAAAAUGGUCGACGGCGAACCUCUUCCGAUGUACUUUGCGCGUGCAAGGCAGCUGCAAACAGAUUUAUUGGGAGUCGGCCACGUAGUUAACGACUCCGAGCUGGCGUACACCGUGCUAGUUGGUCUACCCAGUCGGUACAGCGUGGUGACGACUACAUUACUUAUGCGCGACGGCGAUUUGGACAUGGCGAGCGUCACAGCAAAGCUUCUCUCUAUCGAGACGGCUAACGGUGGGUCGGGCAAGCCUACCGAGUCGGCAGCCUUCGCGUCUGUCGGCGGUUCGACGUUCGGCGCUUCUACUUCUGGUUAUGGUAGCCGGGGGCCGGCCAACAACAGCUCGGGACAUAGUCGGAAGCAAGUCAUCUGCUACUACUGUAAUAAACCUGGGCACGUGGUUAAGGACUGCAGGCAGCUUAAGGCGCUGAAGCAGUCGUCAAAUUCUGGCUACAAGGGUGGCUACAGCAACAGUGGUAACGGAGGUAGUGGCAGCGGAGCUAGCGGCAGCAAGCCAGGAUCCGGUGGAUCAGCUAGGAGGCCAGGAGUUCCGCGGCAGGUAGCAUUCGUGGCAUACAACAGCAAUCGUCCGACGGAAUGGUUUCUGGACUCAGCCGCCACUCACCACAUAACGUAUGACCGCUCAGAACUUUCCAACGUGCGGUUGUUGGAGCCGUGGGAGCGCUUCAACAUAAUGGGCAUCAAGGGACAAUCUCUUCGACCGACUGAAGUUGGCACGCUUACGAUUCGGUCUAACGUCAACGAUAAACAGGCCAUCACUUUCAAGAAGGUCUACGUCGACGAGGAGGCCACCGCCAAAAUCAUAUCGGUCCGCAUCAUUGAUGAUCGUGGAGGCAGUGUGGUCUUCGGCGGCGGACAGGCGAAAGUAUACGUACAGAAUCAGUUGGUGCUGACUGGAAAGCGGGAUGGGGACUUGUAUCCCGUCUGCUACAGCAGUGGAGGUACGGGAGCUCUGAAGAGGACGCAGCGUGAAGACAACAGGAUACCUUCUGGUGGUGAUGCAGUGUGUGCUGCCGUGGGUAUCGGAGCUGAACGUGCAGCACUUUGGCACCGAAGGUAUGGCCACUUGGGAUACAGCAACCUUGAGACGUUGCUGCGUCAUAAUAUGGUAGCUGGAUUUGAUGUUGACCGACACAGCAUACAAUCAGCCAGCACGUGUGUGUGUGAGACUUGCGUCCUUGCUAAACAUACACGUGGUCCUUUUCCGUUAUCUGGGCAUAAGGCAGCGCAGCCUCUCGCGCUCAUUCACAUGGAUGUGUGUGGGCCUAUGCCUGAACCUUCGCCUAGUGGUUCGCGUUACGUGACAACCCUGCUUGACGACCAUACUGGUCUUUCAGCUGUUGCGUUUACAGCGACCAAGGAGGAGGUCUACCAGAAGAUGGUGGUAAUGAUAGCGGAACUGGAGCGCGCUACUGGCAGGCAGGUUAAGGAGGUGCGUACAGAUCGUGGCGGGGAGUUCGUUAAUACUCGCACGAAGGCCUAUUUCGCUUCCAGGGGUAUUCUACACGGAACUACGGUAGGCUACACUCCUGAACAGAACGGAGCUGCAGAACGUUUAAAUCGCACUCUUUUGGACAAGACUAGGGCUAUGCUAGUUGAGUCUGGACUGCCUAAAUCAUUAUGGGCGGAGGCGUUAGCGACAGCCAACUAUCUUAGGAAUGUGUCGCCAACUGCUGGGUCAACCGUCACUCCGUACGAAGCUUUCUUUAACGUUCGUCCGAACGUCAGUCACCUGCGAGUCUUUGGAUGCGUUGCCUACGUUCACGUACCCGACGUCAAGCGCGACAAGUUCGACCCGGUGAGCAGGCGUGGAAUACUUGUAGGAUACGGGAACGGUGGACAGUAUCGUGUACUAUACGAGGACGGCAUUAUUGCCGUAGUUUCUAACGUUCGUUUUGACGAGUCUAUUGUCGGCCGGCGGCGUAAUGCCGGGGACUCCGAUUAUGAGUCCGAUGCCGACGAGGAGGAGGAGUUUCGCACUAGUUUAUCUGGUGAGGGAUCGCUGCCUAGGGCUGGCGAAGGGACACCAGGUAGCACCGUCGGCGAGGGAUCGCCACAUUUGGGUGGCGAGGGGGCGCCGGCUGGGGUUGGACCUUCCAGCAGUGCGAACGGGCAAGGAAUCAAUCAGCCUGAUGUGGAAAUGGCGGGAACUAGGUACCCAGUUAGAGAGCGUAAACGCCCUGGCGAAUGGUGGCGAAACGAACCUGGUCGCACUGUCACUGGUCGCGUUAACGCUGCUUUCUCUGCUGGUAUUCCUGAGCCUAAUUCGUUUGAGGAAGCAAUUGCUAGUCCACAUGCAGACGACUGGCGGCGUGCGAUGGACGAGGAGAUCGCCGCCCAGAUGGCUAACAGUACUUGGGAGCUGAAGACGCCACCUCCUGGUACUCGUUUGUUGCCGUGUCGUUGGGUAUAUAAGGUUAAGUACAGCGAUGACGGCAGCGUGGAGCGUUUUAAGGCGCGUUUAGUUGCCAAGGGUUUCGAGCAACGUGAGGGGAUUGAUUAUGGGGAGUUGUUUGCCCCUACCUCUCGUGGUUCGUCAUUGCGUGCUUUAUUAGCAGUUGCCGCAGCCCGGAACAUGACGGUACAUCAGCUCGAUGUGUCUACUGCGUUUCUGAAUGGUGAGCUGAAGGAGGAGUUGUGGAUGGAGCAACCGCCUGGGUAUGCAUCCAGUGACCGGUCGCUUGCGUGCAAGCUGCAGAAGUCUAUUUACGGUUUAAAGCAGGCACCCCGUUGCUGGUAUGAAAAACUAUCAGCAGAGUUCGCCAAGUUGGGUCUUUAUCCUUCGAAGUCUGAUCCGGCGAUGUUCGUUAAGACUGACGAGCGUGGGGUUGUUAUUGCUUUGGUGCACGUAGAUGAUACAAUUGUUGCGUCGGAAGACCCAGAAAUGGUCCGGGCAAUUAAAGCCGCAAUUGCGAAGGUCUUCAAGGUGCGCGACCUUGGAGAAGCGAAGGUGUUUUGGGGCAUGGAAAUUAGGAGGGAGAAGUCGGGUGAGAUAGUGUUGUCACAGCAUAGGUAUAUUGCGCAGCUGUUGGAGCGUCAUAGGAUGAUUGACGCCAAGCCGAGAUCUACCCCUUUGCCUCCGGGCUUUAGGUACACUCCUAAGGGGGACGGAGAGGAGCUGCUGGGCAAUCCCACAGAGUAUAGGGCUUUGGUGGGAGAAUUGAACUAUCUGGCGACGAACACGCGGCCUGACAUUUCAUAUGCAUUAAGCGUUUUGUCUCGGCAUAUGGCCGCACCCACGAAGUGUGCCAUGAACCUGGCAACUGGCGUUCUGCGUUACCUGGCGGGGACUCGCGAACUAGGAUUGCGUUUUGGGGGUGUUGGCGACGUUGCUAUGUCCGGGUACAGUGAUUCGGACUGGGCAGGAGACCCAGUUACGCGGCGUUCUACGUCCGGUUACGUAUUCACUCUUAAUGGGGCUGCGAUUAGCUGGAGCAGCCAACUUCAACGUACUGUGGCGGCUUCGUCGGUGGAGGCUGAGUACCAAGCUACAGCGGCGGCUGUUCGUGAGGCUUUGUGGCUUCGCAAGCUGAUGGUUGAUUUGAGCUUGCCUGAGAGCGCGGUGAAAAUCCAGAUAGACUCCCAGGGGGCGCUUAGCUUGGGAAACAACCCGAUUACGUCUGCUCGGUCGAAGCACAUCGACGUGCAGCAUCACAUAGUGCGUGAGAGGGUGAAUAGCGGUGAGGUGCAGUUGGAAUACUGCCCUACGGAGUGGAUGGUUGCGGAUGUACUAACGAAGGCUCUGGGCGAGGUGAAGUUCAAACGUUGCCGAGAUGCUAUGGGCCUUGUGUGAAGUGUACAGAUGAGCUUGGUACUCGUUGGGAUACGGCCCGAGGGGGCGUGUUGAGGAAACGGUCCUCUCCCAACUCGUGUGGUUGUCGACCAGGGGAUUUGACCCCGGGUCUGCGCCUGACUAAUGGGGAAGACUUACCCCAGAACCUUAUGGGGCUACCGAUGCAUAUUCGGUAGCUAAGUGAUAGACAUUAGGGCACCGUCUGGACGGCGCAGUGAGAUCGCGGAAUGUACGUGCAGUUAGAUCGCGGAAUGUACGAGUUUUCCGCUAGCGCCGGUAUUUAGGGCGGUGACUGCGCCUAUUAGUUUAUCUCACAACGAUCGGUAUUCCUACCAGGAAUCUCCUCAAGUCCUGCCGAACGCUAACAAUACUCUUUACAUUACUUGUAACAGUUUAUCGUGUUUCAUAUCUUCGCCGCCGGCAAUUCUUCCGAGAUAACAAUCAGCGUUAGCCGUCACCGUCGCCAAUUCUUCAAUAAAUAGAACGCCGUGUUACCGGGUCUCCUGCCCAGUCAGAAUCGCUAUACCCGGACAUCUCAAUGUCACCAACACCCCCAAAACGUAAUCCUAGUUCGCGAGUACCCGCCAGGUAACACAGAACGCCAAUUGCGAAGUUCAUAGCACUCUUCAUGGGUGCGGCCAUAUGCCAGGACAAAACACUCAAUGCAUACGAAAUGUCAGGCCGCGUGUUCGUCACUAGGUCAUUCAACUCUCCCACCAAAGCCCUAUACUCCGUGGGAUUGUCCAGCAGCUUUUCUCUGUCCCCCGUAGGAGUGUACCUAAAGCCCGGAGGUAAAGGGGUAGACCUCGGCUUGGCGCCAACCAACUUAUAUGCUCCAAUAGCUCCUCAAUAUAUCUACGCUUCGACAACACUAUCUCACCCGACUUCUCCCUUCUAAUUUCCAUGCCCCAAAACACCUUCGCUUCUCCAAGGUCGCACACUUUGAAGACCUUCACAAUUGCAGCUUUAAUUGCCCGGACCAUUUCCGGGUCUUCUGUAAUGUUACAGAGUGGGAGGCUUCUGGGCCGCUUUUAUCACAUUGUCAGUUCUACGAUUUAUCAUCUUAUAGCACCAUCCACCACUACCACACUAUACUUCGCCAUACGAACUGUAAGUCCAAGGCGGCGGGUCCAGCCGUCUAGGACCCCUCCUCAUCCAUUCACCCGAACAACCGAAGAGACGGAGGGUUCGGCAAUCGCCACCAAUCCAGCGUGCGAAUCUGGUCCAUCAACUGCGACCUCAACUCCACAUCUCAGCAGCUAGCCAUAAUCUCGCGCUCCCGACUAAUUCGGGGGUCUCCCCAGGAAUCGAACCCAGGACCUUAAACCGCGGAUCGCAGUAGUGUCAAUCCAGACCAGACCGGGUCUUCUGACGGAACAAUGGAAACGACGGAACAGGAAACGACUGAACAAUCUACGUGCACCAAAGCAAUAGCAACCCCACGCUCGUCCGUCUUAACGAACAUCGCCGGAUCAGACUUAGAAGGAUAAAGACCCAGCUUGGCGAACUCUGCUGAUAGUUUCUCAUACCAGCGACGGGGUGCCUGCAUCAAACCGUAAAUCGACCGCGCUGCGCCGCGAAGGGGACCGUAGCUUCGACUCCCAGGGCAGCUGUGGGUGUGUGGUGCGUGGGUGGUGUGGUGUGUAGGUGAGAACGGUAUUAAUGUGGGGAAGCAGUGGCGAGCACUCAGUUACAUUACAGGUGUGACGGAGGGUGGCUUAGUAGCAAGCCACAGCCAGCAGUGCAUGUGAUCAGGUGCACGUGGGAGGCGAGUAUCCUGCUACUAGACUAAUGGCGCAGAGCCUACCUCUCCGCGCAAUUCCGCCAACACAGCCAGCAUACAGCCCACACAUCCUAAAUGCCGUCUCAUGGGGCACUUGUCGCUGACCUGGACUUGGCACUCGGGGGCGUUACUGAGUGCUGGACAUGCAAGGUACUAGCCUUUCUUACUAGCGUAGGAGCGGAUUCCCCCACCAACUAAUACGCACAGUGAUGAUCUCAUAGCGCAUUACGCCACCCUUGAAUUGCCAGUUGAGAGCAUUCGUUAGGUAUUUGCCAAGCGGCUUGAUGCGCGAUGGGAGUGUCCGAAUACCCUAGUUGACCCCCGCGUUUUCCCCAUAGGGAUUAACUGGAUGGAAGUGGCCCCGCCUAGGGGUGCGCCUCUCGAUUGGUUAGAGCACACUCAAGUGACCAUGCCCCAGCGUCUGCAUCAAGUGCUCAUGUGUGUCCGGUUAGGCUGUUGGGAGUUACAGGUUAAUAGGCCUAUCUGGGCAACAUGCUGGAGAACGUACACGCUGCGCAUGUGGCAUGUUCAAUGCUGUCACCCACGUUCGCCCCUGGUGCUCUUACCAGUCGUGGGUGCAUGUUUUUGCCUUUGGGCAGAAGGUUUACGGGCAGGAACGAGGUCUUGCACAACGCUGCGCGAUUAUCCGGCCCGCCGACGUCUAGAGCCAGACUUACAGGUAACGUAGACAUGCAGGUCAGUGUUUCGAGUACGUGUAAAAUGCAUCCAAAACGAUCUUUGUGUGCGCCAUCCGGGAUUUGCACCCGGGCCGCUCGCGAAUCUCCGAUCAGGUGCACGUGGGAGGCGAGUAUCCUGCUACUAGACUAAUGGCGCAGAGCCUGCCUCUCCGCGCAAUUCCGCCAACACAGCCAGCAUACAGCCCACACAUCCUAAACACCGUCUCAUGGGGCAUUUGUCGCUGACCUGGACUUGGCACUCGGGGGCGUUACUGAGUGCUGGACAUGCAAGGUACUAGCCUUUCUUACUAGCGUAGGAGCGGAUUCCCCCACCAACUAAUACGCGCGGUGAUGAUCUCAUAGCGCAUUACGCCACCCUUGAAUUGCCAGUUGAGAGCAUUCGUUAGGUAUUUGCCAAGCGGCUUGAUGCGCGAUGGGAGUGUCCGAAUACCCUAGUUGACCCCCGCGUUUUUGGGCGGGGCCCCAGCGCGAAGCGCCCAGGGGGGCCCCGACCUGUAGGAUUGCCCAUGUCCGUGUGUGUGUGUGUGUGUGUGUGUGUGUGUGUGUGUGUGUGUGUAACGGACCAAACAUAAUAUCUCGCCUGGCUGAAACGCGUUAUAGGUACUAUACAGCAUUCUCUAUUGCAAGGUNNNNNNNNNNNNNNNNNNNNNNNNNNNNNNNNNNNNNNNNNNNNNNNNNNCUAAAGCCCGGAGGAAAGGGGUAGACCUCGGCUUGGCGUCAAUCAUCCUAUGACGCUCCAACAGCUGCUCAAUAUACCUAUGCUGCGACAACACUAUCUCACCCGACUUCUCCCUCCUAAUUUCCAUGCCCAAAAACACCUUUGCUUCUCCAAGGUCGCGCACCUUGAAGACCUUUGCAAUUGCGGCUUUAAUUGCCCGGACCAUUUCCGGGUCUUCCGACGCAACAAUUGUAUCAUCUACGUGCACCAAAGCAAUAACAACCCCACGCUCGUCCGUCUUAACAAACAUCGCCGGAUCAGACUUCGAAGGAUAAAGACCCAGCUUGGCGAACUCUGCUGAUAGUUUCUCAUACCAGCAACGGGGUGCCUGCUAAUAAUCAAUCCCUUCACGUUGCUCGAAACCCUUCGCAACCAAUCGCGCCUUAAAACGCUCCACGCUGCCGUCAUCGCUGUACUUAACCUUAUAUACCAAACGACACGGCAACAAACGAGUACCAGGAGGUGGCUUCUUCAGCUCCCAAGUACUAUUAGCCAUCUGGGCGGCGAUCUCCUCGUCCAUCGCACGCCGCCAGUCGUCUGCAUGUGGACUUGCAAUGGCUUCCGCAAACGAAUUAGGCUCAGGAAUACCAGCAGAGAAAGCAGCGUUAACGCGACCAGUGACAGUGCGACCAGGUUCAUUUCGCCACCAUUCGACAGGGCGUUUACGCUCUCUAACUGGGUACCUAGUUCCCGCCAUUUCCACAUCAGGCUGAUUGAUUCCUUGCCCGUUCGCACUGCUGGAAGGUCCAGCCCCAGCCGGCGCCCCCUCGCCACCCAAAUGCGGCGAUCCCUCGCCGACGGUGCUACCUGGUGUCCCUUCGCCAGCCCUAGGCAGCGAUCCCUCACCAGAUAAACUAGUGCGAAACUCCUCCUCCUCGUCGGCAUCGGACUCAUAAUCGGAGUCCCCGGCAUUACACCGCCGGCCGACAUUAGAUUCAUCGAAACGAACGUUAGAAACUACGGCAAUAAUGCCGUCCUCGUAUAGUACACGAUACUGUCCACCGUUCCCGUAUCCGACAAGUAUUCCACGCCUGCUCACCGGGUCGAACUUGUCGCGCUUGACGUCGGGUACGUGGACGUAGGCAACGCAUCCAAAGACUCGCAGGUGACUGAUGUUCGGACGAACGUUAAGAAAGCUUCGUACGAGUGACGGUUGACCCAGCAGUUGGCGACACAUUCCUAGAUAGNUGGCUGUCGCUAACGCCUCCGCCAAUAAUGUUUAGGCAGGCCAGACUCAACUAGCAUAGCCCUAGUCUUGUCCAAAAGAGUGCGAUUUAAACGUUCUGCAGCUCCGUUCUGCUCAGGGGUGUAGCCUACCGUAGUUCCGUGUACAAUACCCCUGGAAGCGAAAUAAGCCUUCGUGCGAGUAUUAACGAACUCCCCACCACGAUCUGUACGCACCUCCUUAACCUGCCUGCCAGUAGCGCGCCUGCCAGUUCCGCUAUCAUUACCACCAUCUUCUGGUAGACCUCCUCCUUGGUCGCUGUAAACGCAACAGCUGAAAGACCAGUAUGGUCGUCAAGUAGGGUUGUCACGUAACGCGAACCACUAGGCGAAGGUUCAGGCAUAGGCCCACACACAUCCAUGUGAAUGAGCGCGAGAGGCUGCGCUGCCUUAUGCCCAGAUAACGGAAAAGGACCACGUGUAUGUUUAGCAAGGACGCAAGUCUCACACACACACGUGCUGGCUGAUUGUAUGCUGUGUCGGUCAACAUCAAAUCCAGCUACCAUAUUAUGACGCAGCAACGUCUCAAGGUUGCUGUAUCCCAAGUGGCCAUACCUUCGGUGCCAAAGUGCUGCACGUUCAGCUCCGAUACCCACGGCAGCACACACUGCAUCACCACCAGAAGGUAUCCUGUUGUCUUCACGCUGCGUCCUCUUCAGAGCUCCCGUACCUCCACUGCUGUAGCAGACGGGAUACAAGUCCCCAUCUCGCUUUCCAGUCAGCACCAACUGGUUCUGUACGUAUACUUUCGCCUGUCCGCCGCCGAAGACCACACUGCCUCCACGAUCAUCAAUGAUGCGGACCGAUAUGAUUUUGGCGGUGGCCUCCUCGUCGACGUAGACCUUCUUGAAAGUGAUGGCCUGUUUAUCGUUGACGUUAGACCGAAUCAUAAGCGUGCCAACUUCAGUCGGCCGAAGAGACUGUCCCUUGANNNNNNNNNNNNNNNNNNNNNNNNNNNNNNNNNNNNNNNNNNNNNNNNNNUCUUCUGUAAUGUUACAGAGUGGGAGGCUUCUGGGCCGCUUUUAUCACAUUGUCAGUUCUACGAUUUAUCAUCUUAUAGCACCAUCCACCACUACCACACUAUACUUCGCCAUACGAACUGUAAGUCCAAGGCGGCGGGUCCAGCCGUCUAGGACCCCUCCUCAUCCAUUCACCCGAACAACCGAAGAGACGGAGGGUUCGGCAAUCGCCACCAAUCCAGCGUGCGAAUCUGGUCCAUCAACUGCGACCUCAACUCCACAUCUCAGCAGCUAGCCAUAAUCUCGCGCUCCCGACUAAUUCGGGGGUCUCCCCAGGAAUCGAACCCAGGACCUUAAACCGCGGAUCGCAGUAGUGUCAAUCCAGACCAGACCGGGUCUUCUGACGGAACAAUGGAAACGACGGAACAGGAAACGACUGAACAAUCUACGUGCACCAAAGCAAUAGCAACCCCACGCUCGUCCGUCUUAACGAACAUCGCCGGAUCAGACUUAGAAGGAUAAAGACCCAGCUUGGCGAACUCUGCUGAUAGUUUCUCAUACCAGCGACGGGGUGCCUGCAUCAAACCGUAAAUCGACCGCGCUGCGCCGCGAAGGGGACCGUAGCUUCGACUCCCAGGGCAGCUGUGGGUGUGUGGUGCGUGGGUGGUGUGGUGUGUAGGUGAGAACGGUAUUAAUGUGGGGAAGCAGUGGCGAGCACUCAGUUACAUUACAGGUGUGACGGAGGGUGGCUUAGUAGCAAGCCACAGCCAGCAGUGCAUGUGAUCAGGUGCACGUGGGAGGCGAGUAUCCUGCUACUAGACUAAUGGCGCAGAGCCUACCUCUCCGCGCAAUUCCGCCAACACAGCCAGCAUACAGCCCACACAUCCUAAAUGCCGUCUCAUGGGGCACUUGUCGCUGACCUGGACUUGGCACUCGGGGGCGUUACUGAGUGCUGGACAUGCAAGGUACUAGCCUUUCUUACUAGCGUAGGAGCGGAUUCCCCCACCAACUAAUACGCACAGUGAUGAUCUCAUAGCGCAUUACGCCACCCUUGAAUUGCCAGUUGAGAGCAUUCGUUAGGUAUUUGCCAAGCGGCUUGAUGCGCGAUGGGAGUGUCCGAAUACCCUAGUUGACCCCCGCGUUUUCCCCAUAGGGAUUAACUGGAUGGAAGUGGCCCCGCCUAGGGGUGCGCCUCUCGAUUGGUUAGAGCACACUCAAGUGACCAUGCCCCAGCGUCUGCAUCAAGUGCUCAUGUGUGUCCGGUUAGGCUGUUGGGAGUUACAGGUUAAUAGGCCUAUCUGGGCAACAUGCUGGAGAACGUACACGCUGCACAUGUGGCAUGUUCAAUGCUGUCACCCACGUUCGCCCCUGGUGCUCUUACCAGUCGUGGGUGCAUGUUUUUGCCUUUGGGCAGAAGGUUUACGGGCAGGAACGAGGUCUUGCGCAACGCUGCGCGAUUAUCCGGCCCGCCGACGUCUAGAGCCAGACUUACAGGUAACGUAGACAUGCAGGUCAGUGUUUCGAGUACGUGUAAAAUGCAUCCAAAACGAUCUUUGUGUGCGCCAUCCGGGAUUUGCACCCGGGCCGCUCGCGAAUCUCCGAUCAGGUGCACGUGGGAGGCGAGUAUCCUGCUACUAGACUAAUGGCGCAGAGCCUGCCUCUCCGUGCAAUUCCGCCAACACAGCCAGCAUACAGCCCACACAUCCUAAACACCGUCUCAUGGGGCAUUUGUCGCUGACCUGGACUUGGCACUCGGGGGCGUUACUGAGUGCUGGACCCAUUGAGCCACGUCUUUCAGAAGCCCCACGGCAAAGCUGGCUCGGGCGGUGGUGUUGUUCUGCCCCCUGGUGCGGCCGCCACUGGUAGCCAUGCGACGACUUGAGCUGGACGCGCCACUGCCAGCAUCCUCCAAACAUCUGCUCGCAACUGGUGCACGUUGGGGAUGUCACCAAACCGGUAGCCGUGUGCCUGUACCGCGGACUUCAUCUCGCUGCAGCAGGCGCAGACACAGGAUGGCAUGUUGUUUUUGACAGCGGCAUCAAGCUGUUCGGCGACUCGGAUCUGUUCCGCUAGAGGAACAGUGGGCAGAGGCUGACCCGCAGGAACAUCUUGCACAUGUUCCGGCCAUGAAGCUGUACUGCUGUCUAACCAGGCACCCAUACGAGGCUUGGUGGGGUUUGUCGGCCGCCUGAACACCCAGAAGGCAGCAUUUAAAACUGCCUCCACAAGGCUACCCCUGCUGUGGCGGGUGCGUUGUGGUGUGUGCUCCUCAGAUGACUGUUGCCGAAUUGCACGGGCUUGAUGCUUUCGAGCUGCGUCCGCUGUUUGGUCUGCCGCCACUUGCUCAGGCGUUCGGUUGGCUCGCACCUCCGCUACCCGAGCUGCAUGUGCUGCUCGAUGCGUGGCCACUUGCUCAGGCGUUCGGUUGGCUCGUGCUUCCGACCACCGCGCCCACCGAGCAGUAGCUGCUGCUUGGUCUGCCGCCACCUGCUCAGGUGUCCGGUUGGCUCGCGCAUCUGCCCAUCGCGCUGCAGCUGCUGCUCGAUCCGCCGCCACUUGCUCAGGCGUCCAGUUGGCUCGCGCCUGCGCCUUUCUGGUUGCAUCCGCACUGGACAGCUGGGGUGUCGGGGGGGAAGGUGUGGCUUGAGUCCGGCCCAUCAAGCUCAGAAGCCACGAGCCUCCACCUGCAACUGUACCUAACCGCCGACGUCCUGCAUGAUGUCAGGAAGAGGAUUACUGGUCUACCGCCCAUGCAGGAGAUGGAGCAACAUCACAGGCAUCAGUCCCAACCAGGACUCCUUACCGGAACCAGAAUUGUCCAUAGAAAUGGCCAGUCAGACUGAUGUCGCGACAGGUUAUCCUCCUAUCCUCAAGAACUGCAAUGGAACACAGUACAUCGAUACAAGAGGCAGGCGGCUGGCAGAGGUUAAGGCCUGACUUCUGCUCCCAGUCGACCCAGUCGACCCGGGUUCAAAUCCGCCUGCCGGCUCCUCGGGUGUUUGAGGAGUGAUGAAAUGGGAGGUGGCCCCCCAUCAUAUGGACGGUGUAGGACGUGAUAAUACCACCCUGUAAAAACCACCCUGUAACAACAUACAUACAAGAUGCAGGCGGCUGGCAGAGGUUAAGGCCUGACUUCUGCUCCCAGUCGACCCAGUCGACCCGGGUUCAAAUCCGCCUGCCGGCUCCUCGGGUGUUUGAGGAGUGAUGAAAUGGGAGGUGGCCCCCCAUCUUAUGGACGGUGUAGGACGUGAUAAUAUCAACUUGCGAGCUGACCAGGAACUAAGUUGAUGCGCCGUUGAUCCGCUAGAUUUGGUUGGAUGCUGGUGGUGAGUUGCCGAACCCAACGAAUACAUUCUGAAGUCGGAUGGGGUGACGGAUUAGGGUGCCCCUCUAGCAGGGGAGAGCAGGGACUGCCCCGGGAAAGGGGGCCGCUGGCGAAGUUAACCACCCUGUAACAACAUACAUACAAGAUGUAUGUUCCGCAGCACCGCUGUUUG
rnacentral:lncRNA from 1 species